rnacentral:lncRNA from 1 species
GGAGAAGAGCUUUGUGUAUGUGAUCUUAUUGGUCAAGAAAUGAAGAUACUUGGAAAACAAACGUUUUACACCCUUUCUUGCAUAAGAGAAAGACUUUGAGCAAUCUCUAAAAUUCAUAUUUUCUUUACCUCAACGAUGGUACCAUAGUUUGAAAGAUGAGCAAGGAUGAACAUAUUUUAGUCAUAGUUUGGAAGUUGAGCAAGGAUGAACAAAUUUUAGUUGAAAAAUAUUUGUGUAAAUAUUUAUUUAAGUAUGUUUAGUGACUCGAAAGCUAUGUAACAUUUGAAAUUGUCUCGUCGAGUGUUAGAAAUAUAGUUGAUUUUAGUUAUAAGGAUUUGGUUAGAUGAAUUAGUUGUAACUUUCUUGUGAGUUAGUUAAAUGUUAUUACAAAGUAGUUAGUAGUUAAUCAUUCAUAUGCUCUAUAAAUAGAAUAUGAUAUAUCUAUUUUACACAAUCUUUUUCAAUUAAUUCAAUAUAUUUUGAACAUUAAUUCUUAAGAGUAUCAAUAUACUCUCUACUCAUCAACAUGAUCUUCCUCCACUUUGAUCCAUGAAUUUCAAACAUCGUGCGAUAAUUAACUAAUACUGAAUGCCAAAUAUAUAAUUAGAAUGAAAGUAAUGAAAGUGAUUAAAUCUUACCGUGAUCAAUCUAACCAUCAACAAACAAAGUUACUAGAAGAAAAUAUUAUUUAUAACAUAUAGUAAUAGAUUAUAACAUAACAUAAAUUAUGAAUUGAAGAAACUUGUGACAUUGGUAUCUACCAUUCAACCCUAUAACAUAGAUUUGGUGGGAUGAUUCUAUUACCACUUCCAUGUUCUGUUUCAACAUCACCACCACCUCCAAUCUCAUGAAACCUCUUUGAAGAACCAUUAGUAUUCACUUGUUGAGAAUAAAACCCACCAAUAACACCAUCAUUAACAACUUCAAUUGAAGAAUCAUCUUGUUUAACCAUAGAAUUACUCUUUUCUCCCUCAAUUUCCCUAUAAUUAUUAAGAUAAACUUUCAAAGGACCAACAUAAUUUUCAAACCCAAGUGUUGUCAUAGCCCAAAGAAGAUCAUCACCGUUAAUCGUCUUCCUCUUUUCUCUCUGACACUUAUCAGAAGCUUCACCUGUUAUGAAGCUUAUGAACUCAGACACACAUUCUUGAACCGUUUCUUUCGCUUCUUUAGAGAUUUUUGCAUUUGCAGGAAGUGCUCUUUUCAUUAUGCGGCUCACGUUAGCAAUUGGUAGAAACCUGUCUUGUUCUUUUGAGGAUGAACUGUCUGAGAUGUUUCCUGAUGUUGGACUUCCUACUGGACUUGUUUGGUUAAUUCUCUUAUUACCUGUCAUCUUUAAUUAAUUAACAGAGAUAAUUAAUUAAUUAAUUGAUACUAACUAUUGAGUGCAAGUGUGUGUGUGUAUUUAUAGGGGAGGAAAAGUUGGGGAAAUUAAUACAUAAAAAAGGAAAAGUGGUUUGAUGUAUGUGGAAUAAUAUUGGAAGCUAGAAAGGAAAGGGUGAUGGGGAAGAAGAUCACAAAGGGUGGUCUUUAUAUAUCAAUUGAUUGGACUUGCUUGGUCAUAAAAUUUAAUAAUUAAAUAAAGAAAGUAAGCAAAUAGUUCUCUUGUUUAAUGGCCAUGGAUAGUUUGAAGAUUUAAAUAAGAUCACACCUUCUUAUGAUAUACAUGCAUUUAUAGUUGGAGUUUAAUUUUUUUUUAUAUAUUUUGAGUUAAAUUCUUAUAAUUAUACCGAUUUUCUUAUAUACUUACCAUAUGGCAAAUGUUUUUUGAAUUAAAUAUCAUUGUGUAAUCUUCAUUAAAUCCUAAUUCAAUUGAUAAAAAUGUCAAUACUGCUUUAAGUUGGACAUAAUGUGUUGAGUUUGAAUCUACAAUUUUGUAGUUAUAUAUAAUUUUUUUAUAGUAAUUAUAUCAUUUUAUUUAUAAAUAAAAAAUAAAAAAAUAUUAUAGUGAAAUCUUGUAUCUAAUUUAAACGGUGUAAAAAUUAUUUAUUAUGAGUUUGAAAGGUGAUUUAAUUAAUAUAAAUUAAUUUAUAGUGAGAUAUAAAUUCACAACACUUGAUUAAAAAUGAGACUUUUCGUUUUAAGUUUAUUUCAAUUAACAAAUGUUAAUAUUGUUAGGUUAAUUGAUUUGUCUAAAAUUUGCAAUGUAAGUUAAUUAUGAUAAUAUUUAUCAUCUCUUAUAAAAUAAAAAUAAAAAUAAAAUAUUACUAUUUAUAAGACUUAGAUCAAAUUAAAAAUGUGGAAAUUAUUAAAUUAUAUUCACAAAAAAAAAAUGUCGCAUCAUAGAUAAAGACAAGAAGAAGAAAAAAAUAGAAAAUGAGACUUUACUCACAAUGCUACUUGUACACAAAAGCGAUGGUUUAAGUGGCACUUUGGUUGGGCAGAACCCACUAAUUUUACAAUGAUUUUUGUUUUUUUAGAAAGUCUAGCUGCAAAACUAUCACACAUAGUUAUAAAAAAUUGAGAGAUAUUGGGUUAAUAAAAGUCUAAUAUUUUACCAUUUUAUGUGAUUAAUUAUAAGAUACAAUUUUAAGAAUUGUCAAGUUAUAAAAUCGGUUUAUAUUGAUAAUGCAUUUAUUUUAUUUUUUCAAUUAUUAGAUAUUAAGUGUGUGCUUAAAAGUUCCUUAUGUAUAUAUAAUUUGAUUGAUAAUUGCUAGGACAUUAACAUGUGGAGGUAUAAUUUGAUUGAUAAUUACUUAAAGUAUGUGAGUCUUGUCAAAAAAAAUAUAUAUAUAUAUAUAUAUAUAUAUAUAUAUAUAUAUAUAUAUAUAUAUAAAAUAAUUUUGAAAUCUAAUAACUUAGAUAUUUAUUAUUAAAUAUUUUAAUACGACAAAAAUCAAUUUUAUUUAUAAAAAAAAAUGUAUCUUUCAAAACUAAUUAUUAUGAAUAGUUUCUCAAAAUAACAUUUUAUUUUAAUCAUUUUUUAAAAUUUUAUUAUUCAAAUAAUAUUAUAGUAAAAUAGAUAAAAUACUUAAAAUCACUUAAAUUAAUUUUUUAUUAAAAGCUUUAUUUUCAUUUUUUUUAAAUAUUAUAAAAAAUAAAAUACUAUAAAAAUUAUUUUUUAAACAAACAGACCCCAUAUGUUCACCAUAGCACUACAGAUUAGAUAAGUGGGUCCAUGCAUCUUAUACCAAAUAUCCAAUAAAUCAAAUAUUGAAGGCUAAAAUAGAAGAGGCAGGAAAGUUCAAAGUUUUAAGUUGGAACUUAUUCAAUCCUCUAAUGGACUAAGUUCAAAGUGGUGUGUCCUUGUGUUUUGACAAAAUCCUUUUUAUAUAUCCCAAGGCCAAGGGGCAUCUAUAGUUGAGGUACGUACUUGGAAAAAAAAGAGAAAAGUUUUUCUAAAUAUGCAUCAACCACUACACAUCAAAACAGUCAUUGCAAUCUAUAUGAUAUAAGUGAAUAACUAUGGAAAUAGUUUGUUACAAGUUACAACACACAUAUAACAUUUAAAAAAAAUAUAUCAAGUCAUACAGCGUGUCAAACAUAUUGAAACUAUUAUCGUUUAAGAUAAUUAAAAUUUAUUUAAAGAAUUAACUUCUUUAAAUAUACAUUUUUAUACGCAUUAUUAAUAAGAGAUUGAACCCGAUAUUGUGUCAAACAUUGUUGGUGCAUGUUUUGUUAUUUGAUGUUGGCUUUUAAUUAGUUUGGAAUUCUUAAUUAGACUCCAUAACGUGAACUAUUAGUACUUGUUGCAUGUUAUCUUUGUACGGUUUUUAAAAAAGGGGUAAAUAAAAAAGAGGCAACAGGGAUAUAUGCUUUUCACUUUGCUAAUUUGCUUUUGUGUUGCUUUGUCUCACUGAAGAUUCUUCUAUCACAUACAUAAUUGCUGGACAGUAUCAUCUCGAGGCAUCUCAAUCCUUAGUCCCAAUUUUCUUCUUUUCCAACUGACCCAACAAUGCAUUUAUGUUAUAUUACUCUAAUGUUAACAAAAUUUAUGUUUAAAUAAUUUUUUUUUGGUAGUAUUUUUAAUUUUGUUUUUACAAAUUCAAAAACGAUUGUUUUUUUAUUCCUGGUGCUAGUUUAUUAAGUCACAAGUCGGUGAUUUUAUUGACCAUAUGACACCUAAAAACUAUAACACUAACAAUUUUUUUUGAAUUUGUAAGAAUUGAAUCCAAAUAAAAUAAUUUAUAGAAAGUAAAAAAAAUAUAUUAUAAUUGUAGAAACUAAAAUCAUAUUUAAAUUUAAGAUCUAUAUAGAUAAAAAUGUGAGUUAAAUUAUACUUUUGAUCCAUAAAUUAUUUUCAAAUUUCAAUUAGUCUCUUAAGUUUUUUAUCUAUUAAUUUCAUUUUUUUUUCUUUAAGUUACAUUUUUUUUUACGAAUAAGUUAAAAAUGUUAGAUAAUUUAAUCUUUAAUUUUUUGUUUGCUAUAUUAUAUUCUUAUAAGUUAUGAAUAUUAGAUAUUUUAGUUUCUCUGAGUCAGAGAAAUUAGACGCUUUAAUUAUUUUUAUAAAUGUUUAACAUUUAUAACUUAAAAGAUCAAUUUGUUCAAUUUUAUAAUAUAUAUAAAUAAGUAAAAUGAAAUAAUUAAAAAAAAAAAUAACGACUACAAAAUUAAAAAAGUUUAAUGGACUAAAAUGUCUAACAUUCAAAUUUUUAAAAAAAAUAAAAAAAAAUAAAAUAAAAAACUUAAAGAAAUUAAGUAUAAUUUAGUCUAAAAUGUGACAUUUUUAGCUUUUGCAUUUCCCUGUAUCGAAUAUGUCUAUAACUGGCUUUGUUCUUUGAUGAGUUCCACCCUGUCAAGUUUCACUACUUGGAUUCUGAGGAUAAAAUAUCAGAACCGAUCAUAAUUCACAAGUUAUCAAACAGGCUUGUGACACAUGGAACCUUUUCAAGCUUCAAAUCCACUGUUUAUGUAUAUGUACUAAAAAUAUACAUUGAACCGGCUCUUAUUACGUAUUAUCUUAAUUAUUAUUAGAUAUUAUUUUAGAGGUGCAAGCUGCAUAUACAAAAUUCAAUUAUUGGAUGUGGCUUGGAAAAUAGGUUAUAUGCAUUCACUAUCACAAGGAUAUGUUAGUAUAUAUUAUAUUAUAUUAUAUUUUAGUUUGAAAAGAUUGGAAAAAUUGGGUGUCAUACCCAGAAUUAUAUUAAUUGAAAUUAGCUAAGGUAUGGGAUUAUUAAAUGUAUAAAACAUGACGCACACAAAAAGAGAAAAUUUGUCAAGAUGUGAAUUAUGAGAGCCUCCGAAGAAAAUGAUUGUUGGCCAAUGGAAAUUUGAAGUCAAAAUAGGAAAACUCUUCAAAUAUUCAAUCCACAAAAAAUUGGUGUGUAACCAAGUUAGCCUAUGGGAUGAAUUAAGUUUGAUUUUGGCAGGAGAUAUGAAAAUUUUGACUAAACUUUAUGGUCAUAAAUAGUUAUAAAUAAUUAAGAGUGUAUAAAACUAAGAUUGAUUUUAUCAUAUUUUUUUUACGAGGGUUUAAAUAAUUGGUCAGAUCAAAAUUUAAUGAUGAAUUAUGGUGACAGUAAGAAUUUAAAGUUGUGUUAGUGACAAGUGUAACUUAUGACAAUCCAUAUAUUAGUAGUAUAAUCGAUAUAAAUAAUAUAAAUUUAUGAGAAUACUUCAAAAUCCACCAAAAAGUCAAAUUUUCCGUGCACAAAAUAUAUAUUUUUUAGAAUUGUGAAUGUUAAUAUUGUUAGUAUUAUGUUAACUAGGGAGAUCAAACCCUAAACCUUAUCCCUUCUUCUCACUUCAACCACUAAAUUAAUUUUCUAUACCCAUAACAUAUAUCUUCACUAGUUACAAUCGAUUAAAUAAAUAUUAUAUAGUCCAUAUUUGAUUUCACAUUGUAAGUUAUAUUGAUUUUGUCAAUUCUACAAAAGAAUUUAUUUACAUUUAUAGUGAAACUAAGUUUCAUAUGUUCACUUACAUGUUGUAUGCUAAUGUUAAUUUUGAGGAGAAAUUUACAUGAAUAUCUCAUUAUUUAGAUUCUCUUCUAGCUGUUCACCAAUUUAUGGUUUCUUAUACUUUUGCUGCAAAUGUCUGGUUCCUUUUUUUGUUGUUGUUUUUAUACUAGUAGCUUCUAAAGCCUAAAGUUGUAUAUGGUGUCUAGCUGUACUUCAACUUGGAUCCCUUCAUUCCUUCCAUUAAUUAGAACAAGUAAAGUUGUCCAUAUAGAGUGCUCUCCAUCUUCCAGCUAAUUAAUAUUCACUGAUUUAAUUGGAACACUCUUCCAUGCAUAAGUUAAAAUAAUAAAUCCAAAAUCUUAACCUUUUUUAAGAAUUCAGCAAAAUUAAAUUGAUUAUGGCAUUAAUUAUUGUCCAUAAACUAAUAACAUUACUUGUAGCGAUAUUGGUCAAGUGUGUACAUUAUAAGCAUAUACGUUUUAUUCUGUUUCUUUUUUGUUCUAUACUUUAUUCUGUUUUUUAUAGUUUGAAAAAUAUUUGUUUGCGUUUGUUAAUAUCGUAUGGUAGCUAAAUACGUAAUGUGUGAGGUUACAUCACGAUUGCUUACAUGUAUUGGUUUUUAUUUAUAUAAAUAGUAUUCACUUGUGGUUAUGCUUGUAGCUCGAGGAUUAUUGACAACUGAAUCAAACAAUUCGAAGAUAUUAAUUAGUCUAUGGUCCAUUUAAUUAUUAUAUAUUAUUAUAUGCUAUUUGCAAAUCUCUGCUGGUUAAUUUGCCGGCUUUCAGAGACAACUAGAAAGUCAAAUAACAUCACAAUCAAAACCCACAAAUAUGGUGCACUGUAUAUUGAUUCGAGAUCGGAAUCGCAACAGGCCGUAUAUAUAUUAAUUAUUUAUAACCCAACACUUAGACACUCUUUGGUAAGGUCCAUAAGUGAACUUCUGAAUUUAUAAUUUAUUAAAUUAGUUUAUAAUUUUGUUGGAUUAAAUGAGUUGUAUUUGAUAAAUAAGAUUUUCUCAUAAGAUUAUAGUUUAUUUUGGGUCAUUAUUUUAAAUAAUGUUUGAGUUUAUAAUUUUUUAUACUUUCAUAUAUUUAUAAUUUUAUUAAUUUAUUUUUUUAUGUAAAAAAAAAACAGAUCAAUGCUUUCAAUCUUUAUAAAAAAAAUUCACAGCAAAAAAUUUAACUUUAUGUAUGGCAAGAUUCUCUGUCACAUAAAACACAAAAUUGACAAAGACACGCAUGAAUAGAGUUAUACUCAAUUUCUUUAACUUUUUUGUCAAAAUAACUCAAAAAAAUAUCAUCUGAUUUUCAUCUUAUUCAUAAAGUUAUUAUAAAUCAUAAAUUAUUACUAUUUAUACACAUGAAAUUUACUAAACUUUUGGAUAACUCUUCUAAAUUUUUUAGUAGUUUAUUGGAUUUUUUUUCAUAAAAGCUUAAUUUAUUUAUUUUUUCAUUCUCAUUUGAUUAUAUAACACUUUGUUCAUUUCCCUCUUUUUCUUUCUCCAUUAAAAAUUAGUUAUUUCUCCUUCUUUCUUUAUUUUAUUUUGUUCUUUCUUAAAUUUCAAGUUAGAAUUAUCUCAUUUUGAUGAUGAUAAUAAAAAAAAAAAAUCCCAUCAAACAAUGGCCUUUAAGGGCAAUAUAUUUGCCAACAAAACUCAUGACUUCUUCAAUAUUUUGAUAUCAACCUUAUUUUAACAUUAACAAUUUUCGUCAAGUAUGAAAAAAAAAUAGAGUAAAAAACAUUAUUUAAAUUUUCCUCUUUAUCAAACUCAAUAAUAUAUAUACACUAUCAAAAUAUUUGUUGAAAUUUUUUGAAGAACAUCAAUAAUAUUUGGUAACCAAAGUCUUUCUUUUUAACCAAAUCGAUAUUAGAAAAAAUGCAAUCAAAAUUUACCAACAAAAAAGAAAUAAGGUUGCUCUUGUUUAUUGAGAAAAAAAAAAUCUAUAAUUGGAUUCUCAAUUAGAAGUACAAGCUAAUAAUAACAAAUGAAUUACACAUGAUAUUUGAUUAAAAAAAGGCAAGAAAAUAUUUUGCAUUGAGUUGUAGACUUAAUUCAACAUCUAUUAAAAAAAGAAUAAGUAAGAUUGCAUUAAAAUCUUUUUUGUUGUUAUUUCAAGCGAAUAAUAAAUCUUCAAAAAAUCUUUUAGCUGAUUUAUUUUUGUUAUUUCAAAAUCAUUUAGUCGAUUUAUUUUGACAUUUUAUAUUAUUUGUAAUCAAUAUUGUCUUUUUCGACAUUUCUUUCUUGAGAUUUUUCAUACUUGAAGUGUAUUAAUCAUAUUCUAAUUUGAAGAUGAUAUUAGAUAUCUUAGUUGGUUAGUUAGUUAAGUUACGCUUACUAGUUAAUUAUUUUACACUAGUUAGUUGUUUAUUUAACACUAGUUAGUUGUUUAUUUAACUAUACAAAAUGUAUGUAACUUUUAAUAUAAUUCACAUUAUCUCAAUUAUUAAUAUUAUUCUAUUUACUUUUCUCUAUUUCUCAUUUAUUAAUAAUUUAAAUAUAAAAUUAUAAUAAUAAAAAGAAGAAGAAUUUGAGAAAUAAGUGGAGUCCAACCACAUAUACAUUUACAAACAAGGGCAAACUUAAAAAGAAAAAAAGAUAAAUAACAAGUAAAAAUAUUAAAUUAAAAUAAAGAAUUAAAAUUACGAUCUAAAUAUUAUUUCAUAUUUUUUUAUUAAAAGUAAAUAGUCAAUUUAAUUUACAGUAAAAAUCACGAAGACAUAGUUGAUUUUUUUUGGGUUUCCUGCGUAUCUAUGGGUCUAAUUUAAUCUAUAUAUGGUACUUUUAAAGAUCAUCAAUUUUAAUUCUCAAGGACUAAAUAAAUUUAUAGUGAAAAAAAAGACCAAAUAGAUUUCAGUAUUUUUUUGUUAAAAAUUAUUUUGAGAAGGAGAAAACUGUAUCCAUGUUCCUAGUAUGAGUUUAGAUAUAUUUUCUUUUGUAUUCUCUCAAAAUGUACUUGUCAAUUAUUUAUAUCAUCAAAAUAUAUAUUUGGAAUGCAUUUGAUUUGUUAAAAAAUAGUCGACAUGACAACUUUUUUGUAUCAUGUUUUCAUUCAUAAAUUAGUCAUGAGACUCCACAAAACAGAUAUUAAAAAAUGUGACGAAAAUAAGAAUUUUUGUCUCUCUUUGAACAAUAUGAUAAUUUUUUGUCCGACGUACAAACUAUCAAAAAUACUAACAUAUCAUUUUUAUUUUCUAUUAAAAAGUUAUUAUAUAUCUCUACUCUGCCAUCUCUCUAUCUUUCUCUAUUGUCUCAUGUCUUUAUCACCCCCCCUCUCUCUCUCUAUAUAUAUAUACCCAUCUGUCACUCUCUUAUUUUUUUUCCUUGCUUUUAUCUCUCUCCUUCCUCUUAAUUAUCUAUCUCUACACCAUUUUGUUCUCUUUCAUCUUUUUUUUUUUUAUUAAUAUUUGCAUUCAUAUGUGUAUAUAUAUCAAUAAAUGGUAUUAUAGUAAAAAUUAUAUUCUUUUGUCCAAUGCAUAGACAUGUUAAAUAAAACACAAUGCAAAAUUAUUUGUUUUGUACACCAAUCAUCAAAAAAUAUAGUAGAGUACAAAAAAUUAUCAUGUAUAUACUGUUGUCUUCAAUACUUAUUGUUUUGUGAAAUCAAACGCACUCUUAAUAUUGAGAGAGAAAAAAGUUGUCCCAGAUUCUUUUUUAUCUAAAAAAAAAGUAGCACCCUAUAAGAAUAUACAUAGAAGCAGCAAAUAUAGGUUUGGGCUUUGGAAAAAAAAUAAAAAAGAAGAUGGUGGGAAGCCCGUAGAAAUUGAAACAAAUAUCUAACACGCACCAAGUCAAGUUAUAUUGUCACUGAAGAAAAUUUAUAUUCCCACACCCCAAUAAAUAUCGUAACCAAUCAAUUUGAAAAGAUACUAUCGUAGAAUAGUAUAAAAUGUUAACUUUGAAAACUUUAAGAUUUUUAUACACUUGAAAAGACUGAUCGAAUAAUUAAAAAUAUUAAAAUUUAUAAUAUUGUAAUGACUGAUUCAAUUGAUCAAUCACUUUUUAAAAGUUUUGAGAAUUUUCAUAUAAUUGAAAUAACCAUUUAAAAUUUUUCAAAAAAAAUGAUCGAUGAUUAGACUACGGAACGAAUCAAUUCAAAAAAAAUAUCCUCAAAAUUAAUUGAUAUAAGAGAUAAAUUUAAAAAAAUAUUUGAUAAUAUAGAGGUGGGAUUAGAAAUUUCCAUCACGGAAUGGUAGCCGUGAAUUGUAGCACAAGAACCACACAGGAAGAGUAAGCACAAAGACCAAAAAGUACAAAAAUAAAGUAACUACCACGCAGCAAUAUAUUUUGUGGCUCAGGACACAACCCGCGAAAUCUCCUCACCAAUCACAAUUCUCCAAAGACUUUCGUAGCUCAUCUUUAACUUGCCACGUGUCAUCUCCUUCUUCAUCUUUCCACUUUUGUCCUUUUCCCUUCAACUACUCUUCUCCUUCUUCUACUUCUUUCUCUGCUUCUACUCUUUCACUCUCUCAUUUCAAUCCACACUCCAUGAAAACUAGGGUUCCACUUUGACACCCCCUCUCUCUAGUAACCAUUGAUCAAUGGCUGCGUCUUCUUUACUCUUAGCCGAACUCAAUUUUCUUGCUCCUCAAACCACACCAAAACGUCGUCGUUCUCUCUCUACAUUUACCUCUUACCGUUCCGUUUCGAGUCACAAAUACAAUGUUACUCUCCGCACUCGAAUUCGCGCUGUCAAAGAAGAAGGUGCAUUGCUUGAACAAGAGUUGACCGAAAGAAGAGUGAGCGAUGUGAAAUGGAGUGGAAACGGAGCUGUUACAAGUGUUGUAAACGGUAGCAAUGGCUCCGUUAAAGGUUACGUGAAUGGAGUUGCAAAUGGAAGCUUAGUGAAGUAUGUGAAUGGCAAUGGUGUGGCGGUGGAAGUGGUUGAAGAUUUCGUGGCAACAUCGAAACGGAGGGAAGAUGGGAGGAAGAGGAAGUUGGAGGAGAUUGGAAAAGAAGAUGCGUGGUUCAAACGAAGCGAGGAACCACAGGUUGAGGUAUGUAUGAAUGUAUGAUUGUGCAAUGUUGUUUCAUGACUUUGAUGUUGAAAAAAAGAGGGGAAAAUUAAAAUGAAUUGUAUGCUAGAUUAACUGAGUGAGAAAAGUUAAUCACUUGAUUGGGCUGUAGUGGUUAAUGAAUCUCGGUUAACAAUGAAUUAUUUGGGAGAACUGGAGUUCGAAUUCUAGGUGGAGCAAUUUUUGGCCAAACUUGACUUACUUAUGGCCGAAGUCCCGAUUACUAGGGCUCUAUUUCCCUGAGAACAGGAGGAUUCAAACCAGAGAAAUAUUGAACGAGUGAGAUGAACGUGUGUGUUUUUUGUUGUUGUUGCAGGUGGCGGUUGCGCCUGGUGGUCGUUGGAGCAGAUUCAAGACGUACUCAACAAUCCAGAGAACAUUGGAAAUUUGGGGAUUUGUUAUUAAAUUUAUCUUCAAGUCUUGGCUGAAUCGUCAGAAGUUUUCUUAUAAAGGUUUGUUGUUUCUCAUCCGUGGAUUAUGACAGCUUUUCUUGUUACAUUCCAGUGGAAACAUGCAGUUAAACAACAGCAUCUUGUAUAAGUUCGAAUUAGUUUAUGCAUCUCAAGGACUAUUAGGAUGACUUAUUUGAGUUUGUACAUAAAUAUUUGUGAUGCUGUUUGGUAGAGCUUAUAGAAAUAACUUAAGAACGUCUAUAAACUGUUUUCAACUUAUUUCCACAAGCUUUCUAGGAUAACUUAUGAAAACAACUCAUAACUUAUAUGGAAACAAUUUGACUUAUUUUAUCUUUUGUUAUAGACUAGAAAUAGCUUGUAAAUAAACACUCAUAUGACAAUUGCUUAUGUUAUAAAUGUUUAAUUAAGCUAGUUAUCCAAAUUAUUUUAAUUGAGAAGUUUAUAGACUAAUCAGACUGUGUCUAAGUUUGAAGUGAAAAACCCUUGUUUUUCCCCACUUUUCCUCUUUAAAGAUGCAGAUGUGGUGCUUAUGAAUAUGCUGAGGUUGCCCAUUAUUUUGAGAGCACUUGGGCAGGCAGAUUUAUACGUUAAAUUUGACUAAACUUCAAUUUUGUUUAUUCAUUAAAUCAACGUGUAAAUGACUCUGGAAUCAUGAAGUACCUUUAUUGAAAUUUGAAGAAUUUUAGCAGUGACUAUUUUUAUUAUUUGACUCAAGGAUAUUAUUUGCAGGAGGAAUGACCGAGGAAAAGAAAACCUUAAGACGAAAGACCCUUGCCAAAUGGCUGAAGGAAAGCAUUCUGCGAUUAGGUCCUACAUUUAUCAAAAUUGGCCAGCAGUUCUCCACAAGAGUGGACAUUCUUCCUCAAGAAUAUGUUGACCAGUUGUCAGAACUUCAGGUUAAAUUGAGUUUUGAACAGUGCUUUUAAAACCAUUUCCCUGAAUGGAGAUAUUUUAACUUGCUUCUGAUGUAUCCAAUUUGUUGUUAAUGGUAUUUAUGGUUUCAUAGGAAAAAUAGGAAACUUUCCUAGAUUUUAGAUUGUUUUCUUUAUUUGUUGUUUGGCAUUCUAUUUUUGACAUUUGAUUAGUCGUUUUGUCGUCUUAUGUUCCUCAAAAAGUGUAAGAAUAUCUAUUAGACUUUUGCCUAUUUAAACCUCAUUACAAUCUGUAUUCAGAUAAUUUAAUUGUUGUAGAAAAGGAUUUUUUAUGGAAAUAUGAUAGAAGUGAAUGUCAGUACUUGUGUACCAUUUAAGGUUGCAUUUCUUUAGGUCCUAAUUUUCUGUUUUUUUGGUUUAGGAUCAAGUUCCUCCAUUUCCCUCGGAGACUGCUAUGUCUAUUGUUGAGGAAGAGCUUGGAGCUCCUUUGGCUGGCAUAUUUGAUCAGUUUGACUAUGAGCCAAUAGCUGCUGCAAGUCUUGGUAUUAUACUUUGGAUGUAUUUGUAAUAGAAAAUGUGCAAUCAAAGCAGGAAUACGGGUUUAAUGUACCUAGGUUUUAGUGUAAUGUUUGCUUAGAAGAGAGAAAAAAUGAAAUAUCUUUUUCCCCAAUGCAGGUCAGGUUCAUCGUGCAAAAUUAAGAGGACAGGAGGUUGUUGUCAAGGUGCAAAGACCCGGUCUCAAGGAUCUUUUUGAUAUUGAUCUUAAAAAUCUUAGGGUCAGUAUUAUACUUGAUGCUGUGUGCAUAUGUACCAUUACUGUUUGAUUAUUUUAUUACCUUCUUCUCGAUUUAUCUUGUAACUUUUGGUAACCUGCAAGAAUUGACAAGUCUUUGAAAUUUGCAUUUUUUUGUAUAUUUUCUGUUGCAUGGCGUGUUACCAGCUUUUGAAGACUUACUGAAUUUCAUAAAACACUGAUACUUGGGUCUUCUUUUGGGUCUCCAGGUUAUUGCUGAAUAUCUUCAAAAAAUUGAUCCUAAAUCAGAUGGUGCAAAGAGGGACUGGGUUGCUAUUUAUGAUGAGUGUGCCUCUGUUUUAUAUCAGGUGAUGAUAUUCUGGAAAGUUGCUUCACUCUUCUACUUGAGAUCAACUGAAAAAAAAUCAUACGUGAAAGUUUUCAUCGUAUUGGUAUAAUCUGUUGUGAAUUAAAUUGCUUAGGAACGCUACAUAUUGAGUUUGAUUAGGUUCAGGUGAAUGGAGUGGGUCAAGAGGCUGACUCUGCUUUUGGAAUGGCAUAUGGGAAAACCAAGGAAAUUAUUUUGGGUCAUGAAAGGCUUUCUGUAUCAAACUCCUAGAACUCAGAGAACAUAAAUUUAAAGGAACUUUUAUAUGCUUUAGCAAUUGCUGCAGGUUGGGGGUGGGGGGCAGGUUUGAGUUGUUGAUCUUAUGUGUUCUCUGCACAUCCUCAACUUUAUCUGAUCCUGUUAAUGUAACAUGAAUAAACAAUUUUCAGGAGAUUGAUUACACCAAGGAAGGUGCUAAUGCAGAACUAUUUGCAAGCAACUUUAAGAGCAUGGAUUAUGUGAAAGUCCCUUCAAUUUUCUGGGAUUAUACCACCCCACAGGUUCAACCUUCAUUUCUCACAGAAAUAUAGAAAUUAUACAUCUUUACCACUGUUACUUCUGUUACAUUUCUUCUUGAUCCAUAAUUUUGUUAUUUUUUCCAAUGCAGAUUCUGACAAUGGAGUAUGUUCCAGGGAUUAAAAUAAACAAAAUACAAGCUUUAGACCAGCUGGGUGUUGACCGGAAAAGGUUAAUAGAAUCUGGUUUUCUGUAUGCAAAUAUGACUAUUGUCAUGUUACCUUUUACUUGUGUGCAUCUUAACUACUGAUGGUGGCAUCAGCAAUUCAAAUUAAUUUAGAAUUUUCUUUAUCGUCCACAGGUUAGCGAGAUAUGCUGUUGAAUCAUACUUGGAGCAGAUUUUGUCACAUGGUUUCUUCCAUGCUGACCCCGUAUGUUCUUGUCUUUUGAAUUGCUAAGUGAUUUUUGAGUUUUUUCUCUGUAAUGAAUCUAUUGUAUUGUUUAGCUGGAUAAUUGUGUGCUGAAGCUGAUGUACUAAGUUUACUAUUUUUUGAAUGUGCUCUUAUACUGCAACAUUCAGCAUCUGUUUCCCAAGGUGCAAGCAGCACGCUGUUUGUGUCCUAAUGAAUUAUCAUAUUUCGUGAUUAUCUUUCAGGAAGUUCGAUUAGAUGCUUCUUCUUGUGGAUAACUAAUAUAUUCAUUGUCCAUGCAGCAUCCUGGAAAUAUUGCAGUCGAUGAUGUCAAUGGUGGUAGAUUGAUCUUUUAUGAUUUUGGUAUGAUGGGAAGGUAUAUUCUUCAUCUCUUUUAUAUAUUUGAAAUAUGGAUUUACAGAUCGACCAUUUUAAGCUUAGUGAGAUGAUUGCCUUGCAACUAUGAUCGGCGUUGCACCUUACAGUAUCAGUCCAAAUAUCAGAGAAGGUUUACUCGAAGCUUUUUAUGGAAUUUAUGAGAAGAGUCCUGAUAAGGUAGUAAAGAUACUGUUUUUCCGGAUGGAAUCCCAUAAUGUCAUGAACCCUCUAGUAUGAUAUUCCAUUCUUUGAAUCUUAAUUUAUUGCCAAAUGAAGCUUAUGCGCUUAUGCAGGUCCUUCAAGCAAUGAUUCAGAUGGGCGUUCUUGUCCCAACUGGAGAUAUGACUGCUGUUAAACGAACCGCACAGUUCUUCCUCAAUAGGUAGCUUAUUGAACCCAUCUAGUGGGAAUACAUCCAAAGUACGAAACCUUGAGAGACUGAGCAAUAGUUUUUCUAUCAGUUAAUAUCUUUGCAUGAAUCGUAAAUUAUUGAUUUCAUUGCCUGCACAGGCUGCUUAAGACCACUAUAAAAGUGUUAUAAAUAGGAGAAUCUAAUAUUUGAAGUGAAAUUUUUUGCUCAUUACGUAAAAUAGUGAUAUCAGGGUUUGCUUUAGUCGUAUGUUCAAACUGCUCCAACUCAAAGGUCAUAGGUGUGAUUAUUGUUUGUUGGUUUCAUUGAUAAGUAAGUACCACCGUUGUCCACAUUGAGGUUUGUGACUUGCUCUGUGCUUGAAAUAAGGCAGCCUUUUUCACAAAAAAAAAAAAGAGGAAAUAUGAUAUUUAUUUCAAAAAUUUACUGCACAUCUCUGACUAAAUGGAAAUAUUUUAGGUUUAUAUUUUCUUUUCUUGCUAACAUUUUGGUUUAGGAAUGUUAUCUGUACUGAACUACUGAUUAGUUAUGUUAGCAGUUUACUGCAAUAUUUGACUUUGAGCUCUUCAAUUUUAUUUUUCUUUAGUUUUGAAGAACGCCUUGCUGCACAAAGGAGAGAGAGAGAGUUGGAAGCAGCUGAAGAUGGAUUCAAAAAGCCGUUAAGCAAGGAAGAAAAAGUAAUGAAGAAGAAAGAACGUCUGGCUGCUAUUGGUAAUGCAUCGAGUUUAAUUAUGUCUAUUUUUAUGUUUAGAUUACUUGACAUGCAUGCAUACUCCCGAUUAAGAAGAAGCUUUACAUUAAGGUCCAUACUCCAUACAAGUAUCAAUAAGUCUACGGUAUAGCAUCCUUGUCUCAUCCGAAAUACCAAGUUGAUACUUUCUCUAAGAAAUAGCAACACUUGUCUGUGUUGGAAUAGGUGUUACUUCAGGUCAUUGAUGCCUGCUUGAUUAUCAACUACAAUAAAAAUAUCAUAUACAUACACCACCAAAUAAAUAUAUUUUGCAAUGGUAAGAAUACUGAAUGAUCUUCAUCACAAGUCAUCCCAAAUUGUUGAAUGACCUUGCUAACUUUCCAAAUCAAGCACGAGGCAACCUUUCUAAAAAACACUUCUACAAUUUGCCUAAGACCCUAAAAAAGUAAAUAUUCCGCCCCCCAGCAUUUUAUGUUGAAAAUCAUAAUGAAAUAAAAAGGGGAAGAAGAAUGAUAAUAAAUUAUAAACAGAUAAACGAUGCAAUGGAGGGAGAUGAAACAAGAUAGAGACAAAUUUGCAGAAGACCUAAUAUACCUUGAGCAACAAACCCUGGUGGUUGUUUCAUGUAAAUCUCCUCCAAGUCAUCACGUAGGCUAACAUUUUUAUUAUUCAAAUGAUGUAAAGACCAAUGUUUCAUGGAAGCCAUAGAUAUGAAAGUCGAACAAAAGCCAUUUGAGCAACCGAUGAGAAGACAUCCUCAUAAACCAAGCCAUACAUUUUAGUAUAUCCUUUUGCCACAAAAACAGGCUUUCCAUCGAUCCAUCUAUCCUUUGGGGUCAAUAGUUUUUACCCAUUGACAACCAAAUGUAGGCCAUGCAGAGGGGGAGCGAGAGUCCAUUUGUAAAUUGCCUCCACAGCAAACAUCUCAUUAAUGGUUGCAUAAUGCCAUCUUAAAUGAGAUAUGGCUUCUUGAACAAUAUUGGGGAUGGUAAAAAAUAAACAUAGUUAGGUACAAUGGGUAGGUUAAAGUCAAUGACAACUCAAUUAUAAAUGGGAUGAGGAUUAAUGACAGAAUAUUUACCUUCAAAGGAAAGAUUCCCAAAGCAUAUUUGGGUAAAAGCUGACCUCUUGUAACGUUUGUCCAAACAGGGCUUUCCCAGGGAAAAAAAUGCUAUUAGUUCUAUAACUUUAUGCAGUCCGGAGGCUUUUCACUUACUUUUCACUCUCAUCCUUUAACAGGUGAAGAUUUAUUAGCCAUUGCAGCAGACCAGCCCUUCCGGUUUCCUGCUACAUUCACAUUCGUUGUUAGAGCCUUCUCGGGUAAAUAAAUAUCAUUGAAUUUAAUGUCCUACUUUGCAUGUUUUACGCAUGUGACUGCUAAAUAACACGUUAACUUGUUUCUGCAGUUUUGGAUGGCAUUGGAAAGGGACUUGACACCCGUUUUGAUAUUACCGAGAUUGCCAAACCGUGAGUGUUUUCUUCAUAUUUUACAGACUUUUAAACAUUGAAAGUUUUUAUUUAUUUUCAACCACCUUUGGUAAAGGGAAUUUUUGCACCAACCACUUGGCUAAUAUGAUUUUGAAUUAUGAGACCGGUUUUAAGGAUCGCAUCCCAGAGGAGCUAGUGCUGCUGCAUAGUUUUGUUUUCCUGUCUUGUUUCUAAAUCAUGGCCUUUCAGGUCUCCAAUGUCCUAAGAUAAAAUUAAAGUCUUCAAUUAUUCGUGUUGCAUGUCUAACACAACUACCUCCUAGCCUUGUAGUUAUGCUCUGGAGUUGCUGAGAUUCCGUGAAGCAGGAGUUGAAGUUAUCAUAAAGGCAGUCACAAACUUGCUCUACUGUUAAUGAAUUCAGUCUAAGUAUUGCUAUUAUGAUUUUGUUACUCAUCAUUUUCUAUAUAUACAGGACUUUAGAAAGAGGUGGGACAGACAAUCUCAAGCCUUUUACAACUUAUUUAGACAGGCUGACAGGGUUGAAAAGCUGGCUAACGUUAUCCAGAGAUUGGUCUGUAUUGGAUUUUGGUUUGCAUAAUUUGAGUAAAUUAUUUGAUUUUGUAUCUUUUGUUUGUUUGGGAUUUCUGAUAUUGUAAAUCACAUCUUGUUGGACUUCACUUUUUCACAGGAGCAAGGCGAUCUAAAGCUUAGAGUCCGAGCUUUGGAAUCUGAGAGAGCAUUCCAACGUGUUGCAGCUGUGCAGAAAACAAUUGGGAAUGUGAGUGAAGAUGUCUAAUAACAGUGAAAUGCAAAUUUAAUUAUUUAUUGGGAUCUGGUUUGAAUAUGAUUAAUAACCGGUAAACGUUCACAUGUUUGUCAUUUUUGAUUUUUAUGCAUCGCCUUUCAAAGUUCAAAGUUAUUAUCUACUGCAAGUAACUGUUAGUUGUUGUGUGGAGAUGCAUGCAAUGACAGCAACUCAUGAAAAUAUGGAAAUGAAAAUUGAUACAUUUACUACUUCAUGCUUACAAUAAAUAAGCUUACCUGUUUUUGCAUUAUAUUAAGCUUGGGACAUUUGUGAGUGACCUGGCAUGUAUGUGUUGGUUUUCAAUUUGAAAAAGUAUGAAUCAUUUUUUAACAUCAAUGUGAUUAAUCUUGUACUUAUAACAUUUUUUCAAGAGAUGAGUGAAUGAUGGAUGUCUAUAUUGACUCAAAUCAAGUAUAUUCCAUGCAUUUAUAUAUUGUAAACGACAUACAUGUUAUUUGAUAAUCAACUCUUCUGGUAAGUGUUUGGCAUUUGAAUUUUAUAAAAGACUAGAAAAAAUGUUGGGAUAAUGCAUACUCAUUUCACCUUUUUGUCUAUUAACAGGCAGUAGCUGCUGGGAGCUUAAUAAAUCUUGCAACAAUUCUGUAUCUCAAUUCAAUUAGGGUAUACUAUUCUCAUCUCACUUGUCUUUCUCGUGGUGAUUAUCUCAUCAAUUAAUUGAUCAUUUGCUUGUAUUUUCUCAUUCAUUAAUUACGUCUUAUCUUUUCAGGGGCCUGCCACUAUAGCAUAUUUCUUUUGUGCUAUAUUUGGUUUUCAAGUUCUCUUUGGCAUUGUGAAGGUCAAGAAGUUAGAUGAGCGGGAACGGUUGAUUACAGGGACUGCAUAAGCAUCUACAAGGUGAAUGUUGCUUUAUUUUAGAAAAAAUAUUUAAAAUAUGAAACAUCCAUAUUAAGACUAUAUGCAAAAAUUUCAAUUAGGUAAUAAAAAGGAUUAUUUCGCAAGAUUUAGAGAUGAUUUUUUUGGCUAGUAUGUUGUUUGUGUCAUGAUCUCACUCACAUUGGUAAGGUCGUGUGCGUCUUACCCAUCCCAGACACAAUGAUGGGAGAGCGAGAGCCUUGUCCAAUCGUCUGCCCUUUUCAUGGUGUUUAUUUCUGCUUCCCUGCUCCCGGUGGAUACAUAAGCUGCAUACAUUUGAGCCUCCUCAGAUCAGACCUGACAGUGGUGGGAACUUGGUGAAUACGACCAUCCUUUUAUAAAUAGUUGUUAUAACUAGAGGGUUUAGCUGUAAAUGGUUUGAUAUAAAUUAAUUCUUAAUAGCUCCUGUUGUACAAGUUUUGAGGUCCUUGACAUGCCCCAACUUAAUUAUUUUCGUUUGAUUUAGCCCAUUGCAGUUAUAGGAUGGACAUUUGCCCAUGUUAAGAUCAUGGUCAAAAGUCAACCUUCAGAGCAUCAAUAAGCAGCUCAAUGUAGUAGCCAACAUCAUGAAAGACAUCAGUGUGCAAAAACAUUCAACUGGAAGUUGCAGGUAUAUUGGAGGCUUCUUUUGUUCAACUGGUUAAUUUGCUUAGAGGAUCAGACUUGAGGUACUCAAUCGGCUAGCCACAUUUUUGUCAAUAAUACGAAACCCUCUCCUUCCAUAAUUUUAUCCUCGAGGUCAAGUAACAUUAUUAUUGUUUUUCUCUAGUACCUCAUAUCUGUAUUAGUAAAUUAUAUAGGGAUUAGUAUAGGUUUAAUGUUAUGAGUACCAUAUUGGUAUAAUAUGGCUUCCAAUAAAUUGACAUCAGGAAGCUAUGCUUGUAACUUACGUACAUAAAUUUGUUCAAUGAAAAUGCAAGUGUAUGUAUUUACCAACCAUACUUUGGAAGGAUCUAAGUUCCUUAAGUUAUGAUAAAUAUGAUUUUCCUCACUGUUAUGUGAGAGUAUUUGAUUUGCUAAAUAUAUGAAUAAUAAUGAAGCAUGAUGAAAUUACUUAUACUAAUGAUAAAAAAAAAUAAAUAAAUAAAUAAAGCUCAAAAGAAAAAGCAAAAGACAAAAUAAAAGUGUUGAAAUUUGUUACUAAUAAAUCAUGUGUUAAAUUUUUGUUCAAGCAUAAUAUAAAUUAGUCAAAAUGCAUGCUCUGUUUUUCUUUCUUUUUAAUCCUUGAUGGCCAUUUUUAUCAAAUUCUCCUUCUCUCUCUCAACCCUUGUUUUCCAAUUUUUCUUCCCCUCAUUACCCUGAAACCAUUAAAGAUAAAACGGAACUUUUAGUUGAUAUUGGUAAGAAAAAGAUUCCAGUAAACAAUGAAAGAAAACAGCUUAUAGAUCCUUUGCAAUUACCAAUAUGGCUAGUUUCAGACAAGCUGGACUGAUUAUUAGCAUGACACAUAUAUAUCAUCCAGUAAAGGAAUAUGAAUUCUUAUCAUAAGAAGCAAAACUAUGUGAUGUGAUCUAAGGUAAAGAGUUGGUAUAAACGUAGUCUUCAUUCUCAAAAACAGUUUCUUCAGACCCUCCACUUCUUCCCUUGCUUUUACCCCUUUGCUUUUCCCACCCAGCACUUCUCUACAUAAUAAAAAUCCAGUUACUUAGAUUUGUUUAUAUAUGCUCAUUCAAAUUUAAACAACCAAAGAAAAAAUAUCAAAGACGUGGAUAUCGAGAGUGAGAUUCAAACUCACAAUAGUGGCAGAACUCCCAGAAGCCAAAACUGCAUCUUUGUUGAUAAAUGAUCCCUUUUGAACAGUACAUAACACAUUGAAGGUAAAUAAGAGAAAAAGAAACAUAGCAGGUAUCGAGAGUCUCAUUGUAUUAGACCUAUCUAUGAUAUAUGCUAUAGUGUCCAUUAUCUUAUACUAAUUAUAUAACAGAGAUAAUUGUGGACUCAAAAAUUCAAGCGACAGCAUUGACAAUACGUUGAUACUUGAUAUUAUUUAUAAUUAUAAUUCAUAUUGAAUCAAGAGUGCUUCAGCAUUCUCCUUUGACCUGUCUUCGGAUUCCUCGGGAAGAAGGCUCGACCCUCAAGGUUAUUUUGGUGUUUUCCCAGUUAUAUAUAUAAAUUGAGCUUCACGUGUCAAGUGUACAGAUUUGUCUCUGUGAAAUUUGGUUUGAACCCAAGUCAACCCCGACACCACCUGCCUACUUGUUUGUUGGCUUUGAGAAUCAACCCAGAAAAUUGCAUAAGGAAAAUGAUUCUGUUACAUGUAAUGGGAGACGUAAGAGGAUAUAAGAUUGAUUUGGUGGCUGAGGUGAGGUGAGGUGAGGUGAGGGCAAUGUGGAGUGGAUUGAUAGGAGGUUGAGGGUUUGAUCCAGACUCUUGGCAAAUUACUGACAAUAUUAAUUACUAACAUUGGAUGUUGAAAAAAAAUUUGAGAGGUGUAGCCAAAUGAAGAAUAGAAGGCAGCCACGAGUUUUUGCAUGGAGUGCUCUAACGUCUUAUCCCGCCAUCAAAGCAAAUAUUUAAAUAAUUUGUGUACUCGUACUCUAAUAUCUAUCUAACUUAACUAUCGUACAAAUGUCUUGCAACAAUCAAAAGAUAAUAAUUUCUUAACUAAAAAGAAACACAAAUUAUAGUUAAAAAAACCCAAAUCAUUUAUAGGAUCCAAACCAUGAAAAAGGACAGGUUAUUUUUCUGCAAGUCUUAUUCAAACCGAUGUUAUCAACAUAACUUGCAAUAUCAACUACAUUUGUCUUGGAAUCUAAUCACCAUCACUAUAAAGACGAUAGGUAGGGAUAGCAAUAAGAUGAUUGGCUCUAGGCAUAGUAAGGCCAAACUCCUCUUCCAUGUCCAAAUCACUUGGUAACAUAUGAUUACACAAUCUCCAAUCAAAGCAAUGCACAAGUUGGGCCACCACUAAACGCACCACAGUUAAACCCAAUUGUAUUCCAGGACAACCCCUUCUGCCAGAACCAAAUGGAAUGAACUGAAAAUCACGCCCUUUAACAUCUAUGUUGCUUCCUUCAAAUCUCUCAGGCCAAAAUUUCUCUGGGUCAGUCCAAGCAUUUGGGUCUCGCAUAACUGACCAUGCAUUCACAAUGACCCUUGAUUUUUUAGGUAUGAAAAAAUCUUCAACCAUGCAGUCUUCCAAGGAUUGGUGUGGAAUUAGUAGUGGUGCCACAGGAUGGAGUCUAAAGUUUUCCUUUAUAACCAUGUCCAAAUACUCCAACUUGUCCAAAUCUGAUUCCACCACUUUUCUCUUUAAACCAACCACUAUUUCCAACUCCUUCUGCACUUUUUUCAUUACUCUUGGAUUUCUUAGUAGCUCUGAAAUUGCCCACUCCACUGAUGUUGCAGAAGUGUCCAUUGAACCCGCUAGCAUAUCCUAUACAAAUGAACAUGUAAAAAGUGAACAAUGUGACAUGUAUGCAAAAAUCAUGUCAAAACCAACAAAAUUCUCAUGCACACAAAAACACACAAUUUGAAAGAUAAAGAUGACCAAAUAAUAUAAUCACUACAUAGACCAUAUCUCUAGUUGAGACUCUCAAUACACAACAGAAAUAACAAGGAUCUCAAUAAAACUUGUAGCUAAAUUCCUCCUAUCAUUAUGUUUAUAUGAUGCAUUGUCACUGGUAAGUAGUUUUGGCAUGUAAGCAUGUAACUUUAAAGAAAAAUAUUAAUAACAAAGCGUGAUGAAAAUUAAGCUCAACUAAUUUUUACCAGCAUUAUGGCUUUGAUAUUGGGUCGUUCAAUUCGGUAUUCAGAUUCUUGAGUACCAACAAAUCCCAACAUGACAUCUACAAAAUCUUUGGUCUUGUCAUCUUUGUUAUCAGAUUGUAUAUGCUCAUCAAUAAUUUUCUCAAAAAAGUCAUCAAAAAUUUUGCCAAUUGUCUUCAUGCGCCUAGUUAGUCCUUGUAGAUCAAGUGGUGCAAUAUAAGGAAUGUAAUCACCAAUGUUAGGAGUUGCAGCUAAAUGCAUCCCCUCUUGUAUCACACUCUUGAACCCUUUCUCAUCCAAGUCCUUAUCCAUAUACUUCUUCCCAAAAACCAUUCUACAACUCAUAUCAGCACUAAGUGUAGAAACCUUAGCACUUAUAUCAACUGUUGUAGUUCCAUCAUUAGCUACCUCUCUUAUAAAAUUUAUCAAUAUGUCAAGUUCUUCUUCCCUCAUGCUUCUAAAAGAGUUGAUUUUUGUAUGGCUCAACAAUUCUAAUGUGCACAUUUUUCGCAUGUUGCGCCAAUAAGAACCAUAUUCACCAAAACUCAUGUUCCUCUGCUCCCAAGAUAUGUGUUUUGCUGCCUCAGUUGGUGGUCUACUUGCAAAGACAAGAUCAUGUGUUUUGAGGAAAAGUUCAGCUGCUUGAGGUGAAGAAACAACUAUGGUUGGUACUAAACCUAAGCGCAAGUGCAUGAUUGGUCCAUAUUUUUUAGAUAGUUUGUGCAAAUCAAUAUGAGGAUUUGCCCCUAACUUAAGAAGGCUACCCAAAAUUGGUAACCCUUUUGGACCAGGUGGUAAUUUCCUUGCUUUGUUAUUGCUUCCCCUUAGCCAUAGACAAGUAAGAGAAACUAGAAAAACUGUUAUCCAAAUAAAAAUCAAAAUCAUCAUAUCAAUUUUGUGAGAGUUCAAAAUAUUGCUUUUGCAUAGAGUUGUAUUUCUCUGCUGCCAAGUGCUAAAAGCAAUUUGGCUAAUACAUAACCAAAUAUGGAGUUAUAUAAUCUACAAGUAAUGAAAGAAAUGUUUGUGUUUGACAAGAAACUUUAUUAGUAUCCAAGAGAAAAUAUAUAUAUAUUAUAUUUUUAUGACAUUAAUAUAUAUGUAUUGUUAGUGUAAAAUUAAUUAACAUCUAAUUGCAAUCAUUUAUAGUAUAAUUAUUGUUUCAAAUAGUUACAAACAUAGAAAGAUAUAUCAUAAUAAAUAACUGAGAUUAAUUGUUUAUGUCGACAUUUUAUAGUUUAUUUUCUUGUAGAAAUGGAAAUGGAAUAUGCUGUUUGAGAAAGAGAAGUGUUGUAUUGUAGAGAGCAAAUCUGAUCUGAUUGGCGGUAAAAGACAAUUUAUUUUAAAUGAUUGGGCCUGCAAGAGUGACAAGACAGGUAAUUAUAACCAUGCAUGUAUCUAUUUACUGCUUUAGCCGGAUAUUUCAACCGCUUUCAUUCAUCAUUCAAUAAUAAUAAAUGCCACUUUAUCUACUCCUUUUCCAUAAUGACAAAACCACCACCAUCUUCACAAUUAUCGAUAUUUUUAUUUUAAUAUUUACUAACAAAAUAUUUUAUCUGUUUUAUAUAUGUGUAAAUUUGAUCUGUCCUUGAUUUUGUCUUGUUUGUCGUUUCAUUGGAGAUGCUCAUCAAUGAUUUUUUUUCUUUCAAAAUCUUAAAUCUGAGUCUAAAUCAGACACAUAAUUUUUUUAAAGUAUAAUAUGAUCUAUUAUGAAGUGUUUGUUUCAAGUUUUUUAAAUUAAGAAUAAAUUUUCAAAGAAUACAAGAACUGGAAUUAAAUUCUUAAGAAAUUUAAAAAUAUAUGUUUGGUUGAUAUUUGUAAUAUUCCUUGGAAUUUUUGUAAAGUGAAAGUUUAUGAGUUACUUAAAAAUUAUUCACACGUCCAUGAGAAUCUAUUAAUCCACCCUCUCACUUGAGAAUAAUUUCAUGGAAAUAUUGAAAGUUAUCCUACUCCAAUAAACUAGUAUGGGCAUAUUCAUUUCUUACCAUUCCCAAAAAUAUCAUUUAUUUAUAGACUUGAAAGAGACACCUCCUAGUCUAUUUAAAAGUUUGUCGAUUGAUCUAAAUUUUAAAAAAGUUAAAGUACAACUCUAUUAUCUUAACAAAUUAAAAUAUAGGAAUUAUAAAUUAAAAAAUUGCUAUUACUCGAAUGCAUAAUAAAUAAACAUUGAAAUAGACUAUGUCAAGUUGAGCUUUUAAAAUAGAUUUUUAAAUUUUGGAGUUCUUAUAUGUUUCAGAAAUGAUAGUGGUGGGGUAUGUGUUGAGAAAAGAGGGUUUCAAAUAGAAGAAAAAAUGGGAAAGGGGUGUUUAAGCAAACAAAAAGAUGCAAAUAGAGAUCCUACAACUCAAUCACUACUUCUUUCUUUAUCACAAGUUUUUUUUAUAUAAUUUCACACAUAUUAAAAAAAUAUAAAACAAAAAUUAAAUAAUACAGUAAUGUAUGUCAUUUUUUCAUUGAUGUUUCAAAAUAAUUAUAUUUACUGUUUUACUCAAAUAACGAAUAUAAAAGAUGGUCAAUUACUUAAGAAGGUCAAAAUAUAUUGAAUUUAUCGAACUAAUUUGUUUAAGUUGUUAUUUUAAACAAGGUGAUUUGAUAAUUUGGAAUAUAUCACUCUAAUUAGUCUGCUCUGCUUAGUCUAGUGAAAAAAAUGGUGCAAUAGCAGAUUAUUGUUUUUGUCGUUAAUUUAUUAUUUCGUUAAACCCAAUAUUUAUAAUUUAUGUGAAAGUUUAUUCUCCUAUCUCUUAAUACUCUUUGAAUUAAUUAAUUUUGAGGUGUAUUCUCCCGUCUCUUUUGAAAAUAUAGAAAUGCGAGAGAAACAAAAAUCUACUUUUCUUUUUUACUUAUGUAACGAUUGUUGUAUUGCAUGUUUGUUACGACGGUCAACUUACCUAAAAAUGAAUAUGUUUAAUUUUUUUUCUGAUAAGUAAAUUCUUUAGUUUAUAAAGAGGCGGAGUUGGGCUGAGAGUUUCAACCACGUGCAUAAAUUGGGCUGAUAUGACCCAAAAGAGUUUUAUACCAGGCACCCCCCCACUUUGACCUGCCACCCCCCCAGUGAUGCGUAAAAGACAAUUUUACCCUCUAUCACAUAUAUAAAAACCAAAAAAAAAUUUUACUCACACUUUUUACCAAUUCAUUCGAACAUUUCAAACAUUCGAUUCAGAAUCAACCUUACCUUCGAAGAUCUCAAACAUUCAAAACGCAAAAGUAAGUUCCCAUUCGAAUAUUUGCAGUUUUUGAAAAUUUCGAAAUGCAUUUGUAUGAUUCAAUUCCAGAAGUUUCGAAAGUUUCGUUGAAUAUAAAACCUUCGAAAUGCAAUCCUCGAACUUUUGGAAAUCUUCGAAACGAGAAACUUUCGAAAGUUUCUUGAAUUGAAAUCUUCGAAAUGCAAUGCCAGGUGAAACUUUCGAAAGUUCUGGGAAAGUUUCGAAACGCUUGUUCGAAAGUUUGGAUCUGGGAAAUGUUCGAAACCCAGUUUCGAAAGUUUCAAUCUGGGAAAUGUUCGAAACCCAGUUUCGAAGGUUUGAACUGGGAAAUGUUCGAAACGGCCUUUUAUGUAUUAUUUUAAAUUUUUUGAAACGAAUUUGUUAAUAUUAUUUAUAUAUUAUUUAUAUAUUAUUUAUAUAUUGUUACAUUGAUUUUUUAUUGUUUAUAAUUCUUUUUAAUAUUUAUAUAUUUNNNNNNNNNNNNNNNNNNNNNNNNNNNNNNNNNNNNNNNNNNNNNNNNNNNNNNNNNNNNNNNNNNNNNNNNNNNNNNNNNNNNNNNNNNNNNNNNNNNNNNNNNNNNNNNNNNNNNNNNNNNNNNNNNNNNNNNNNNNNNNNNNNNNNNNNNNNNNNNNNNNNNNNUGGGAAGGAGAGGUAUAUUUCAAUUUGAGGCAUUUUAAGUCUAUUUAAUUCAAGUGUUUAUUGAAAUAUAUUUAUUCAAUUAUAUAUUUAAUUGUUUAUUUAAAUUUAUAUAUUUAAUUAUUAAAUUAAGUUUAUUUAAUUAAUUGUUUAGUUAAAUUUAUAUAUAAUUAAUUGUUUAGUUAAAUUUAUAUAUAAUUAAUUGUUUAGUUAAAUUUAUAUAUAAUUAAUUGUUUAGUUAAAUUUAUAUAUAAUUAAUUGUUUAGUUAAAUUUAUUUAAAUUUAUUUAUUCAAAUAUUUGUUUAAGUUGAUUUAAAUUUAUUUUAUUCAAAUAUUUGUUUAAGGUUAUUUAAUUAAGUUUAUUUAAUUUGUUGUUUGUUUAAAUUUAUUUAUUCAAUUAGUUGUUUAAGUUGAUUUAAUUAAUUGUUUAUUUAAAUAUAUUUAUUGAAUUAUUUAUUUAAUUAAUUGUUUAUUUAAAUUUAUUUAUUCAAUUAUUUGUUUAAUGUUAUUUAAUUAAUUAAUUACUUUGUAAUUACUCGCAGGAUCGUGGACCGUUAAAGGUCAUUACUCAUGGAUUGAAGUUGAAGAAGUUUUCUGAAGUUCCUGUGCCACAUCCUGUAGAGCGUUGGAUUCGGGAAUCUGGGCUGCUACCUCUUUCUUCGGCCUACCUCACUAUGGUUGAUGCUGGUCUCGUCUCGGCAUUUAUUGAAAGAUGGCACAGGGAGACCAGCUCAUUUCAUUUGCCAUUUGGAGAGAUGACCAUUACUUUAGACGACGUAGCUACUCUCCUUCACAUAUCACCGAAUGGUAAAUUUUUUGAUGCACCUGUGAAUAUGAGUACUAAUAAUGCUGCUAGAGCUGCACAUGAGUACUUAGGUGCAACUUGGGAGGAAUCUCUAGCUGAAAUUAAUUUUAAUAAAUGUGCCCAAUAUAGAUUGCAGUGGCUGCGUGACUUAUAUAGUCGUCUCAUUCAAACUAAUCAGUUUGAGUAUGCGGCUAGAGCGUAUCUAUUGCACUUAGUUGGCAGCACCAUUUUCGCCGAUAAAACGCAUACGCGUGUGGAGGCGAAAUACAUUAGUUUAUUUAUUGAUUUAGCUCGUUGUCGACACUAUUCGUGGGCUGCCGCGGCAUUGGUUUUCGAAACUUUCAAAUGCAAGCAAAGUUUCGAAACUGUCUAUUUCGAAAAUUUGGCAUUUAUCCAAAGUUUUGAAAUUUUGUCUUUUUUUUAAAUAAACUGUAUUUCGAAGGUUUUAAAAUAGCAAAAUUUUCGAGUAACUUACUAAAAUUCAUUUCGAAAAUUUAAAGUUUCGAAUCCAACAUUUUGUUUUGUAAAUUUUCGAAGGUGGUGGGGUGUGAAAUCUGAAUGAUAAUUUUUAAAAUAAUAUUAUACUGUUUUACAAAAGGGUAUUUUAGUCUUUAAAAAAUAGUGGGGGGUGGCAGGUCAAAUUGGGGGGGUGCCUGGUACAAAACUCGACCCAAAAUCAGGUCGAUGCUGAUACCCCAACUCGAUGAUGGGCCGGCCCACAAACAUCACAAUUCGUCUGUCUCUCCUUUGCAGUAAAUCACACUCUGUGCAACUUCAACCGCAACGUGGCGGUGUUUGUGUUACCGUUACCAAUUGCCAUUCAUGUCUUCUCUUUCUUUCUCUACUCCUCCUUCUCCUUCUUAUUAUUAUUCAUUUCCAACGAGUAGCGUUAACCUUCCACGUGUAAUCCGAAUUUCGUGCGGGUCGAACCCGACCCGAUUGAAUAGGAAGAAGAUAACGAGCGAGCGAUCCGAAACUCAAGAGCUUGUUCGUUUGCUCACACGGAAGAUAAGCGAGAAAGAGCCAUUGGUGACAACACUGAACAAGUAUGUGAAGUUGGUUAGAACAGAGCAUUGCUUCUUGCUCUUUGAAGAACUCGGUAAACAUGAUAAAUGGCUUCAAUGCCUUGAGGUGAGAUCCCUUUUCUUUCUCUACACACACUUUUUCCCUUAUCAUUCAUGAAAAUUGCUGUCCUUUUUUUUUUUUUAUAGGUGUUGUUUGAUUAUGGUAAUGCAAUUUCUCAUUGUGAAAAGAUUACUAGUGUUCUAAGAAGCAAUCAGUAGAAGUUAUUUAGGUGCUGUUUGGAUAAACAGUUUAAGCAUAAGUGCUUAUCAUACAUAAAGUGUUUCUGUAGACCCUCCGAGACAACUUAUGAGAACAACUUAUUGUUUAUAUGAAAACAAAUUGAUUUUAUUGUAUUCUUCUGCAUAAAUGAUAAACACUAUAAUUGCUUAAUUAAGUAGUUUAUCCAAACAUGACUUAAGAAUCAAUUGUAAGCAAUGUUAUUCCGCUAAUAAUAUCUUAAUAUUUUUAAACAAAAAUCAUUUCAUGUUACCACAUUGUAGGGUGCGUUAAAUUAAGGGAGCUGAAAUGAUAAUGUCAAUGGUUGGCUAUUUGUGACUUAAGAGUAGUGAUGUUUGAACUUCAGGUUUUCAGAUGGAUGCAGAGACAACGAUGGUAUAUUGCUGAUAAUGGCGUUUACUCUAAACUCAUAUCAGUUAUGGGAAAGAAAGGGCAAAUCAGACUCGCCAUGUGGCUUUUCUCCGAGAUGCGAAACACUGGCUGUCGUCCGGAUACUUCUGUGUAUAAUGCGCUAAUCUCUGCCCACCUUCAUACGAGGAACAAAUCAAAUGCUUUGGCCAAAGCACUUGGAUACUUCGAGAAGAUGAAAGGAAUCGAGCGGUGCAAGCCCAACAUCGUUACGUACAAUAUUCUUUUGAGAGCAUUUGCUCAGUCUCGUAAUGUGGAUCAGGUGAACUCUUUGUUCAAAGAUCUCGAUGAUAGCGUUGUUUCACCAGACAUUUACACCUUCAAUGGUGUGAUGGAUGCAUAUGGAAAAAAUGGGAUGAUCCGCGAAAUGGAAACAGUCCUUGCUCGAAUGAAGAGUAAUCAGGUUAAGCCUGACUUGAUUACCUACAAUUUGCUCAUUGAUUCAUAUGGGAAAAAGCAGCAAUUCGAUAAGAUGGAACAAGUUUUUAAGAGUUUAUUACGCUCCAAAGAGAAACCUUCACUGCCUACGUUCAACUCGAUGAUUUUGAACUAUGGGAAGGCACGGUUAAAGGAUAAAGCAGAAAAUGUUUUCCAGAAUAUGACUGACAUGGGUUAUACACCCAGUUUUGUUACACAUGAGAGUCUCAUAUAUAUGUACGGCUUCUGCGAUUGCGUCUCCAAGGCUGUUGAAUUGUUUGAUGGUCUGAUUGAGUCAAAAGUUCCGAUGAAAGUUUCAACACUAAAUGCUAUGCUUGAUGUUUACUGCAUAAAUGGUUUGCCACAAGAAGCAGAUUCACUGUUUGCGAGGGCCAGGCGUGUAAAUAUAUUUCCAGAUGCAUCAACAUAUAAACUUCUUUAUAAGGCAUACACUAAAGCCAAUUCAAAGGAGCUUCUAGAUAAAUUGCUAAAGCACAUGGAUAAAGAUGGUGUUAUCCCUAAUAAAAGGUUCUUCUUGGAUGCUUUGGGUGCUAUUGGAUCUUCAACCGAAAAGUCAGGAUCUGCAAAUGCUGGAACUGAUUCAAAAAAUCCACAAAAGUUCGCAAAAACUCAAACAGAAACAUAGUUGGCAAUUCGCGCAAUGAAGCUAGCUCAGUUCACUUGCGAGGUGGUAUGCUAUAUUACAUUGCACCAAUUUUUCUGAGGAACAGGUUCUCACUUGGUCCUUGUGUGACAUCACGUUUUCUUUUUUAAAAGGGUUAAAAAGUUUCUAGUCCCCGUAAAAAAAAUCACAUUUUUCAGUUCCUAGAAAAUUAUUAUGCAAGCAUUUUUGGUCCCUGUUAGAACAUGAACAUAUAUAUUUGAGUGGUUUUUUUGUAUAUAUAUUUACAACAAAAAAAAAAGUUUUUCCACACAAAAUGAGCUUAAAAUUCGAUUUCUAGGUCCAUAUUUUCAGGACUUUAAUCUUGAACACAUGAUAUUUAAAAAAUUCAUAUUUAAUUCAUCCCAAGUUAAAAAAUUCUAAAUUUGUGUGGAUGAAUUUUUAAUAAUGUUCUAAACAUACUUGCAAAAUACAAUUAAAAAAUUGAAGGAUGUUUUGUUCCACCAAGGACUUAAAAAGCUUGUAGAAUAAUUUUGUAAGUACAAAAAAAUGUGAUUUUUUUUAUAGGGACUAAAAACGAAAUUUCAAAAUUUUAUAGGGACUAAACUUAUUUAACCAUUUUUAAAAUAUAGAUAACUAUCAACUAUAAGAUUUCAUACUUGUUAGUAUUUGAUUUAUCUUAACUUCUAUGUACAUAUCUUUAUUUUGGUGUACAUGAUCAUUAUAUUUAUCCAAUUGUUGGAUUUGUUAUUAUAUUCACAUUUUACAAAGAGUUAUAGAUUGAGUAAGGUUGAGGAGUGACUUAACGGAUCUCCAUCCACAUUUAUUACAAUAAUGCUGAAACUAAAAAUUCAUUGGGGAAGAUAUAACUCCCUGAAGGUUAAUGUUCUUUAGACAAAAGAAACAAGAAUAAGAGAAUGAUGUGCGCUUAUUUUCCAUAGUAGCCUGUAAUGUUUCAUUACUCGUCAUCACUAUGAUAUGUUUGCUAAACUAUAAUAUGCAAAAUGCCUUGGCACAGCAUGCGUACUCCGUGGAGGAUACUUUGGAGACAAAACUAUGAUAGGAAUAAAAUCAUAUGAUCUAACAAAUAUUGUUUUAAAGAAUUGUGCCUAAAAGAGGAAAUUUUGUGAUUUAUCACUGUCUGCUGAAUUCUUUUGGCUCACUGCAAUUACUCUCAUACUCUUCGCAAAACUUUGUUGAUAUUUUUUCUCUUUUGAUUUCCACUCUCAAAAUAUAUUUAUUAUGUGUCAGUCACUUGCUCAACAAGUUUGUUUGAGUAGCUUUAUUCAUGGUAUUCUGAAAACAACAUAAUAUAGUUUUAAUAUUCAUGUAGUGUGCUCACUGCCUUUUUUUUUUCUCCUUCUGCUGUGUCUGUUUAUCAUACUAUGCUUUCUUCUUGUCUAUUCCUUGCAAGUUUUCCGGUUUAAAAUGAAGUACAGGCAUACCAUAGAAAUUUCUGGUUCCCAAGACUUAACAUGCUUCAGCUGUAAUUCGUGAUAAGAAAAAGUAUCAUCCAAGUCAAGAUAGGAUUCGAAAUUAAAUCAUUAAAGAAAAUGAUGAUAUACCUCUUAUUAUAGAAAAUAUGGUAGAAUAUUGUCUUUGUAGAUUUGGUGUGCAGAGAAAACUUGAUGAAGGAUGGAGAAUAAUUUAACAGUUAGAGGUAGAGAAGGCCAAAAAACAACUAUAGGUGUCAAAACAUAAGGAGGUUUUGUUUUAAAUAUAAAAUUAUUAGGUAAGACAUGAUUUGUGAUAAAAUAUUAUGACAUUGUUUGAUUUAUGCAUCCUCCACUUUAAAAAAAAAGUUUUGGGUAGUUUUAGUUCCUCUAUAAAAUGAUAAUAUUUUUUUUCUUGUGACGAUUGUGCAGCACUAAGUGAGAAUGGCAGUCAAAAUUAUUCCUCUUUUUUUGAGGCAUUUUAAAUGUAUUGUGUGGUAAUCUCUUUUCUAUCUAUUAUAUUUGGAAGAAUAUGUUGAGUGGAUGCUGCUUAAUCCACUGACUUUCUGGUUUUGUAUUAUGUUGGAAUAUUUAUUUUUAUUUAUCCUUUUUAUUUUGUUAUAAGUAACAAUUGACUAAGUUUCCACUGGGUUACUUUUUUUUUUUUCCAAUAAAAUUUGUCUGCUUUUUCCCGAAUUGACUGGUUCGGUUUUGUUCAUAGGUGUAAGGUAUUUUCUUCACAAGUACCCCUUGUCUUUGGGGUACUAUGGUCUAUGAAAAGAUGAUUCAGAACUAACAGCUGCCAAAGCUAAUUAGUAAUGAGUAAAUCAAACCAAAAGAGUGGACUCACUACUGGAGGAGUGGAGGGUAAUGAGUAAAUCUAUGACUUACAAAUGAAGACUUUAUCAAUGAUGGUGUUGAUUAUUCAGGUGCAAUGAUCAUACUGAUGCAAUUUGAAAUUGAGGCUCCAAGGUGACUUGUAAUGCUUUAAGGACAGAACAGAAUUAAAAACAAUGGAUUGAUUUAAAAAUUAAUCUGCUGAAAAUGUUAGUUGUGAAGUAUUUGCACUUGGAUUUCUUGAAUAUGCAAGUAUAGUUGUUUUGAAAAAGCAUUGGCAUUUGAUUAGUACUUAAGGGAGUUGGUGCCUAUUUGUUUUUAAGUAUUUAUAAUUUAUACAGGAAAGAUUUAAAACAGUAAAAAGUUAUUCUUAAUUAUUUCGCAAGUUUUCUGGUGCAAAUUGGGACUUAUGGAGAGCCAUAGCUGUUUGAUUGACUUGGUUUUGAACUACAAUGGACCAGUUGGAUUCAACCCUCUUUUGACUAUGGGCAUCUUAACGACUGUUCAUCCGGUCUUUCAAUUUGUUUACAAAAUGUCAAAAACGUUAUCGGAAUUUCGGUAAUGUAUUUUCACAUAAAUAACACUCAUAAAAGCUAGUUUCUGCUAACAUGUUUCUUUUGUUUAGGGGGUGGAUGAGCCUCCGUUUCCAAACUAUUUAUCCUUAAAGAAACAAUCGAGGCAACAGGAAAGUACACUCUUGAAUUGGUAACUCACUAAGAUUGUUGUGUUUGGCAAAAAACACGUAAUAAAUGAUUAAUUAAUUUUAAUUAAAAAUGAAGAUUAAGAAAAAAUGUAAAAGGCAAAUAAAAUUUUCCGGGAUUACUGUAUACCAAGAUAUUGCUAAUUUAUUACUCUCGUUUGUUUGGUGCAUGCAUCACAUUCACUCACAGAUAAGAUACCACUAGAUGAUAUAAACUAAUAAUAAUCAUCUGCGUCAAUGAAAGACGGUCAGCUUGAUUAAUCGUCAUGACUGUUAUGUUAAUCGUAAUCGUAAUAUUUACAAAUUGAACUUGCAAGUGUAUCAAACUGUACUCUUCGAUAUAUUAUACUUUUUGUAUUAAAUAUGCAGUGAUCCACUUUCAUUUGAGGGAUUUCUACAAUUAUAUGAUAAACUAACAAAUCAGAUUUUUUUGUAUAAUCCGUAUCAAAUUAGUAAUACCUCCGUUCCUAUACAAGACUCUUUAGACAAAAUCACAUAAAUUAAAAAAAUUGGUUGGUAAUUUAAACUGUUUUAUUAAUUUAGUUUAACUUUGAAGAAAAACAUAACAUAAUUAAGAGUCGAUAAACAAAAUAAUAAUUAAUGAAGAUAAAAAUUGAAAGAGAUUUUAUAAAAAAAGACCCAAAAAAAAUCUUAACAAAGUCUUAUAUUUAAAGCUGAAGAUAGUAAUAAAUUAUUGAUUAAUACUAGCCGGUUGUAUUAAGGAAGAAGGUAGUCAAAAUGCUCGAUAAAUUUUCAAAUUCGACAUAAUUUUUUUUAAAUAAUUGACACAUAAUAUUUUUAUUAAUUUUAAACAAUUAAAAAGGAUAAUGUGAUAUUCAUAAAUUUAAUAUGGCUAAAUUACAUCUAUGGUCCCUUAACUUAAUUUCAGGUAACAUUUUAGUCCUUUAUCUUUUUUUUUUCUCGACUUGGUCCUUUAUUUUUAAUUUUAAGUAACAAUUCGAUAUUUUAUGUUUUAAAAUUUCAACAAUGUUAUUCUUUUUUAUACAAAAAUUCAAAAAAAAAAUUCAAUCAAAACUCAUAAAAUUAAUUAUAUUCUUCAAUAUAAUACAAAUUUCAUUAAAUUCUUAACGCAAAUCUUCAAAUAAACUCAUAUUUUCAUACUUUAUUUGAUAUUGUUAGGAAUAAAGGACUAAAUCGGAAAAAAAAAGAUAAAGGACUAAAACGUUACCUGAAAUUAAGUUUUAGCCAUUUAAUAUCUAACUUAAUGGAUAUUUACAAUUUUAAAAUUCAAACUAAUAAUUUACUUAUUUUUAAAAUAUUCAUCCACAGUAAAAUGUAUUCCCAUAUCAGAAUUUUUCUAUUUUAAUCACAAAAAAUAGUUAUUGUUGUUAUUAUAUAUUUCCUCCGUCUCUUAAAUUAUCAUUUUAAUAAAUAAAAAUUAUCUUCUGCAACACUAUUAUAAAACCUUGUAUGACACUUUAGACUAGACGGAGGGAAUAAAAGAUAAGUAGUAAAUAAAUGUGGUAGACAGAACAUAUCCACUCCACGUCAUCCAAGAUGAAUACGUUACCACCCAGAAACAGAUAACUUAGCCGAAAAUCUGUCAUAAAACAAAAUAAAUAAAUUCUCCGACUAUUUCUAGUUUCUUAGCAAAAUCCCUCGUUUUCAUCUUAAUAUUUAUUACACACUAGAAUCCCUCGUUUUCAGAAGACAAUGCAAUAACGUGCCAGAGUGUUUCUGAUUCCAACAACUGUAACCCCCAUUCCCAAUUAAUUAUAUUAUUUAUUAAGAUGUUAAACUAUUAAACUAUUCACUAUAUAAUUUGCUUUACUUCACUCACUCGGAUCAGAAAAAUAAAUUAAAUAAAAAAAACCAAUCAAGAUUCAACCAUGGCAGCAGCGAUGCAAUUUCUACUAAAGAGAUCGAACAAACUCAGUUCUUCCGAUUUCAUCGCAUGCAGAACUUUUACAUCUCUCGGAUCCUCGUCUUCCGCCGCCACCGCCACUCAAAACAUCUCUACACCGCCGCAGCUUCCGCCGUUCGAUCACCAGCCUCAUCCGUAUAAAGGACCAUUCGCCGAUGAAGUUUUCGCCAAGCGAAAAACGUUCCUCGGUCCUUCCUUAUUCCAUUACUAUCAGAAACCCGUCAGUUUCCUUAAUUAACCUCGUUAUUAUUGAAAUUAAUUGAUUGUGUUUGAUUGGGAUUAUUUGAAUUUGAACAAUGUGUGUAGUUGAAUAUUGUGGAGGGGAAGAUGCAAUAUCUAUAUGAUGAGAAUGGGAAGCGUUACCUUGAUGCAUUUGCUGGGAUUGUUACUGUUUCUUGUGGACAUUGUCAUCCUCAAGUAUUGAAUGCCAUCAUUGAGCAGAGUAAACUUUUGCAGCAUGCAACUACUAUUUAUUUACACCAUACUAUAGCUGAUUUCGCCGAGGCGUUGGCGUCGAAAAUGCCUGGAAAUCUUAAAGUUAGUAAAUCUUAUUUAAUUAUGACUGUAUGAUUGCAUAAUGCCUCUGAUUUCUCAUGCCAUGCAUUGAUUGGAGAAAACCUGUUCAAUUUGGUGAUGUGAUAGAUUUCAUUGAAUGUGGAACAUAAUUGUGAAAUUUUGAAUUGCAGGUUGUUUAUUUUGUAAAUUCUGGUUCUGAAGCAAAUGAAUUGGCAAUGCUGAUGGCUAGAUUGUAUACUGGUAAUCUUGGUAUGAUUUCUUUAAGGAAUGCAUAUCAUGGAGGGAGUUCUAAUACAAUGGGUCUCACCGCCCUUAACACCUGGAAAUACCCACUUCCAGAGGUUUGUCAGUUACUUUCUUAUUUGAUCGUAAUAUUUCAAGUUUUCAAUUGAUCCUGCAUAUGCCACUUUUGAAUUCUAAUAAGAGUUAUAAGUUACAGUAUACAUGUAUUGCACCAAACUAUGUUAUUUUUCAUCAAUGUGGCGAUUGAGACUCGCAGCUGUUCCUAAUUCAUUUCCUUGUCAACCUGUUUUUACUCACUUGAACACUGAAUUCAAUAUUUGGGAACCAAAUAUGAAGUUUGCUUUUAAUAUAAUCAAAAUUGGUUCACAUUUGAUUUUUUUUAAUGUCCAUCGUCAGGACCCUCGGAAGCUGAUCAUAGAUUUUAGGCAAACUUCAAAAUUGAAAACUUUCAAGUUUGUUUCAGAAAUUGUUGAUUUUCUUCAUUCAAUUUUUUUAUGCAGAAACAAACAAACCAUAGUACGAUAAAAUUAUUCUUAACAACAUUUUGAACCUCUUAGGGUGAAAUUCAUCAUGUUAUGAAUCCAGACCCAUACCGUGGAAUCUUUGGAACAGACGCUAAUAGCUAUGCCAGAGAUGUCCAAGACCAUAUUGACUAUGGUACUUCAGGAAAAAUUGCUGGAUUUAUAGCUGAAACAAUUCAGGUAUGUAUAAUCCAUCAUGUUCAAUAUUUAAGGUGGUAAUUAGACUGGCCUACUUUUUUUAUUUACUUUUUUCACCAUGGCUUAUUCUAGGGAGUUGGAGGAGCAGUUGAGUUGGCCCCUGGGUAUUUAAAACAAGUCUAUGACAUGGUACACAAGGCUGGUGGUGUCUGCAUUGCAGAUGAAGUGCAAACUGGGUUUGGCCGCACAGGAAGCCAUUAUUGGGGAUUCGAAACACAGGGUGUUAUUCCUGAUAUAGUUACAAUGGCAAAGGUAUAAAUCAAAAUCUUAAAUUUUUAUUAAAUAGUUCCUGAAACCUUGGCACCUUAGUUAUACAUUUGAAGUGCAACAGUGUCUCUAAUGAGGUUAAUUAUCUAUUCAUGUCUAUCUUUUAAGCUUAAUUUCAUGGUUUUCCUUAACAUUUAGCUCGAGAUAUUUUUUUGUUCUGCUAUCUUUUAAUUAUAGUAUAUUUGUAAGCAUAUUUUUAUAUGUGCUAUAUACUAUAUUUUCAUUGGAAUUAGAAUAUAUUUUGUUUUAGCUUUUUAUCUUUCAUAUCUUCUGCAAUUAUUCUAUUGUAUCUAAUGUUAAUCUGUAUUAGGGUAUUGGCAACGGUUUGCCAUUAGCAGCUGUAGUUACUACUCCAGAAAUAGCAAGUGUGAUGGCCCAGAAGAUUCAAUUUAAUACGUUUGGUGGGAACCCUGUAUGUUCUGCUGGGGGUCUUGCAGUGCUCAAGGUUCUAGAUGAGGAGAAGCGCCAGGCUCAUUGCGCCGAUGUUGGUUCGCACUUGCUGGAGCGUUUGAGAUCACUUAUGCAACGACAUGACAGUAUGUCAUUUUAAAUAUAACAUAUUUUAAAUGGUUAAUUUUGUAAUACAGUUCUUUUAUGCCAUGUUUGCAUUUUCUGGCUAUCUAUGUACAUGCCUUAUUAGAUUUGAGCCUAGUAACUGAUCUGUUAUAGUCAGCAUGUAGCUGCAUCAUAUGUGUUUACACAAAAGACUGUUUCUCAGGUUGCUGCAAUUUUGUUGAUUAUUCUCAUAGUUUAUUAUAUAAUUUGACAGUCAUUGGUGAUGUGAGGGGAAGGGGUUUAAUGGUGGGGGUAGAGCUUGUUACCGACCAAAAAAACAAGACACCUGCAAAGGCCGAGACUGCUGUCAUAUUCGAAAAACUUAGAGGUGAGACAAUAAUCAUAUCAUCAUGCCUAUGAAGCAAUCCUUUUCAAUAUAUGUUCCAAAUAUAGUCUAACCAUUUACAUCCAUAUGGAUUGAAGAGCUGGGUGUUCUUAUUGGGAAAGGAGGACUGCAUGGAAAUGUUUUUAGGAUUAAGCCUCCAAUGUGCUUCACCAAAGAUGAUGCAGGUAUAAUUUCGUCCUCCUCUCUUAACUGAGAUGCAAGUUCCAGAUUUUAUAUUGAAGUAUCUAACUUAGCAAAAACCAUUAUUUCACUGACCAUUCUCUUUGCUCGCAGAUUUUCUUGUCGAUGCCUUGGAUUAUUCUAUAACAAAGUUGUGAAAUGAUUAUUCAAAUAAAAUCCUUGAUAAUGGAGGCAAAUUGCUACAAGGCAACAUAAUUUGUAAACAUAUAUUCACAAGUUUUACUACCAAUAAUGAAAUGUUCACCCAUUGCGAAGAGGGUGUUUUCUUCUUUUAGUCGGUACAUUAUGAGUUGAACAUGGAUUAGUGUAUAUAAUUUUGGGUAUCAUGGCAUCAAAAGGUUGCAAUCAGUUUUAGACUAAUGUUAAAUCCAUAUAGGAAAGAUUGACUACAUUUCAAAUCAUGACAUCAUUAAACCGUGGUGCUAUGCAAAUUGCGAUUGUUCAUUUAAGAAGAGGCGAUUCAGAUUUUGUUCGAUCCAGAUUGACGACCUAGAUUCCGAUCCAGAUUGACGACCUAGAUUCAAAGCCCGAAAAUCAUAUUUUACAUUCUCAGAAAAUUCAAUACAUUUAGGAAAAUAAAAUUUAUUUGUUAAGGUUUCCAAAGUCUGCUAAAGAAGAAACUUGGCUAGCAAGAAACACUUGUUUCAUGUUCAAAACACCCAGCUUUUACAUAUCUUACAUUACCAAUAUCAAUAGAAUCACCAUGAUCAUCUAUUCAUAAAUGGGCAGUCAUAUUUACAACUAUACCGCAAGGCUUUGCCAGCAAUCGGGAUCUGGAUGUAAUCCUGACCAUGGUGUUAAAAUUACAAGUUUGCUCUAUCUCUUGCUUGAAGAUUACUAAGCAGGUUCACGAGGACGGUUAGUCCAAAGUGUGCUCAAAGCCCUUAGACGUUGAAAAUACUCACCCAAAGCAAGCAGCCAACGAGCAGUUUGACGUAUGGUAAGUAUUCGAGACAUCUGCUGCAAAGUUUCCUGUCGUAGAUGAUCAGCCUGUUUGACAAUAUUAAGCUUAAUUGGUUCAGUUUUUCUAGUAGCCUAGUUUUACCCUUUUUUUAUGGUCAACUCCUAGUUUAACCUUUAUAAUGUGGUAAUUUGUGUUGAUAGAAUAUACAUUCUAAUGCAUACUGGAGUAACUAAUACUCUUGCUAAGAUUAAAACCUCGUCUAAUCUAAUAUAUACAAAGUGCAUUACCUGGUUGACAAAACUAGCCAGAGCUUCCAGCCUCUCUAUUGCAACAGCCAUCUGUGGAAUGUAAAUUCCUUCAAUGAGUUGUCCUGCUACUACUGUGUCAGCAAGCAUUCCCUGGAGUUUUUCCAUACCUUGUGAAAGGGCAUCUUCUGCUUGCCGACACGACUGUUCAAGAUUAGAUGCAUCAAACCUUUGUUCCUCUGUCAAUGGUUCAAUCAAAGGGACCAGAACCUGCAAUUCUCAUCACAAACGUACAUUAAGCCAUAAAUAAUAGAAAUAUGACAACAGAAACAAACACAAGUUGGUCGAGUAUCUUUAUUAGGCAUUACCUUAAGAAGUUCAGAGGGGCGAAAACCUCCGAUCCACAGGAAAAACCUUUCAGCUGUUGUAUUCCACAUGCCGUUGAUAACAUAGAAAACAUCUACUUGUGCAGCAGCAGAUUUCAUGCAGAAGAGUUUGAAAUAGUGAUUCAUGGUGCCAUUUACAAUCGGCUCAAGCUGUAUGUCACUGAUAUGAGCACUUAAAGCAGUUUUCAACUCCAAUAUUUGUCUGUUUUGCUCUUCCACCCAGUUUCCAUACUCCAUCUUAAAAGUUGUUAUUUCUGUAAAUAAGGUCCAAAAACUUGUUGGAGAAAUGAGUUUAAUAACAAGAAGAAAAACAUACUCAAGGAUACCUCAAAGCUAAUAUUAUAUAACAAGACAGAAUGAAGUGUCUAAACUUCAUUGCACAGCUUAAGAAAUUUCUGAACAACUUUACAGUUGCAAAUAGAUUCAUGAAAAUUGUACAGUGCUGCAACCAAAAAGUCCAACCUAUAUCACGUAAAAUGAAGCAUAAAGAUUUCUCUCAAAGUUUGCUUUAGAACUCACUCACUCUUGACCCUUGGUAGUUGAUUUAUUAGCUAAUUGAUUUUUAUAGAGAAGGAAAUUAUUAAGACAUAGAUAAGAAAAAAUAACUGAUAUCAUCACAGCAUAACCACAUUGAAAAGAGCAGUGACAGAACAAUGUCAAGAGCCAGCAAACAACAAACAAACCUGAAUUUACAGAGCCUUCAAAACCCAAAUUAUUUGAACACAAUCCACCAGCAACAUACAACCCCUCCUGCAGUUUUGUUGCCUCAAGAGAUUAACAAAAGAAGAGAUUAUGAAAUGAUCCCCAGCAGAAACUUCACAUUACCUGUUGUUGUCUUGUGCGAUCUAGCUCUUGCUCUAGCUGCACCAGCUUUAAACGACACGAUUCUAACUGUUGUACAUAAGCCUGUAAUGAAAUGUCACAAAUCAAAUGUUUGUUUGGUACAAAACUUCAAUGUGUGAAGUAUAAAACUUAAAACAAACCUUUUUCUUCAAACGACUCUUUCGAGCAGCCUCUCGGUUUUGCGCAAGACGUCUUUGCAUCUGCAUGUUUCAUCACCUUAUAAGCAUAAAAAAUGCAAUCCAGACAUCCAAAAUUUGGAAGCAGGGAACCUCCUAAUCUGCAGUGCAAAAUUUGGUUCUAAAAUGCUUUUUAAUGUCACUUUAAAUUUCUACUAAGUUGGAGGCAUAAGUAAAGAAUAAGAUGAAUAAUCAACUUAUGCAUUCAGAAACAACUUGAACUUAAUAUUGCACAUGCAGUAAUUAAGGUUCCCCAUGUAGAAAGUAGAAAAUAGUUCAAAUUAGUAACAUUAUGUUAACGUUACCUUAUCAGUAAGUUUGUUAGCUUCUUGAUCAUACUUGGUAGAUGUUCCCAAUAUUCCAAAACAAGCAUCCUCUGACUAUAGGCAUUAAAUUUAACACCAUAAAAUAAUAUAAUUAGUUAGGCGAAAAUAGUCAUUAUCAUGUGCAAAAUACAAAGCAUAAAAAUUUGAUAAACUUGCAACCUAACCUGAUUAUUUAACUUCAUAUUGGCCUCCUCAAUUAAGGACAUGGAUGCACUUAAAUCACCAUUAUUCUUGAAAUGUUCUUCCCAUAUAGCAAACUGGUGGAUAGGAUCAUAUACACCAAUACUUGUGGAAACAUAUUGGGAGGAUGAAGAAUCCAUGCCCUAUGGACAUAUUUGGUCCAGCAAUUUAACUUAAUCAUAUAAAUUAAACAAUUACACAUACUACAAAUAAUUCAAUCCAAAUUGUCACAAGUAAAAAAAAGUGACAAAGUCUACUAACGACUAUAUCCGGAGAAAAUAACUAAGUAAUCUUGAAUUCGAUCGAAAAGUAAGUAAAAUUUAAUUAACGAUUGUUCUAGUCGGUAUUCCAACUCAAUUUUCUUGAACUAUUUACUUCACUCUUCAAUUACACCUGUGCAAAUUGACUCUGGGAUUAUAUUUUUCCAAAUAAAGAAAAGGAGGAACAAAUAAAAAUCAGAAUUUUUGGUACGUACGUGAAAAUAAAGUCAAAUAGAUAUACACACUUUUUAAAACACAAAACGAAAAAUGAUUAUUAUUACAUAAUAACAAGAGGAAGAAAGUACCAGAGAAGUGGAUCAUAGAAAGCGCACAACAAAAGCAACUUGUGUUUCCAUUUCCAAAAGUAAAAAAGCUGUUAUGUUUUGUUUGAUGUAUUGAUGACUUUGUUUCUCGUACUUGGUUGUUCCUCGAUUUUCUCGGAAGAUAAAUUUUUAAAUUAGAAAUAAAAUAUAUGCGACUACCAUGAGAGUGAUCCAAGUUUAUUUAUUUAUUUAUUUUGUUGCAUAAGACACGCAACCAAAAAAUAGAGAACCAAAUUCCCAACGCAAACCAUUUUCCGAUCCAAUAUCUUCCAAUUGCCAGCUCCCAUCAUGGCAAGACGAAACAUUAUUAAAAUUAUAAUAAGUGCCACUACCUGUUUAUGUAUAUUAAUGACGAUGAAUUAACGAAUUAAAGGCAUUAACUAGUUUUUUUUUUUUUAAAUUAACUUUGUAUCAUUUUAUAAUGAAGAAAAAUGGAUUAUUGGUCGUUGUAUUUUUAUGUGUGUCUGCUCUAUUCUGUUUUAUUAGUACUUGUAUUGUGCCACGGAGAGUCAAGGCUUUCACACCUAUAUAUUUGUUGUAUUUAUCUGAAAACAAAUUAUUAAAAAUCAUUUUUAAAUAAUGUUUUUUUAUGAAAUUAUUUUUUGGAUUUGACUUCUAUAUUUGACGUGGUUUAAAGUUUUUGUCUAAAAAAUAAGAAGUGUAAUAAUUUAAAACAAAAUUAUCAAAAAAAUAUCAGAUUAUUACUGAAUUAUCAACUUAUCGUUAUUAACUAUUGACAAAAAAAUUUACAUCAAUAUAAAAAAUUUAUUUUAAAAAUAUUAUAAAUAAUAAUAAUUGAAUGAUAAAUUAAAAUAAUAGUUAUUGUUAAAGUGUUUAAUUGUAUUUUAUUGAACCGGUUGUGAUGGAUUUAUGUGUAUAUUAAUUCUAAUCAUUUAUUUAUUCUUUAAAGAUUGAUUUUGUUUACUAUGCCAAAAAUUUUAAAUGACGCUAUGUUUCUGGAUUAUUGUCUAAAUAUGCUUUUAAUUUCUACAAAUAUAACUAUUUUGAUUUUAAUUUCUAUAAAUAUUAUUAUUUUUAUUUAUAUUCUUGUAAUUUCACAAAAUUUUUUAAAAAGUCCGUAAUAAGAUUUUUAAUUCAAAAACAUUGUCGCGACAUUACUUUGUUGACGUGGCACUAAAAUAAUUUAGCUGAUUGGAUUGAAUAUGUUGACUUUAUUUUUUUUAUAUUUUAAAUAAAAAUAAUUCAUUAUUUCAUUUAAUCAUUAGUAUUUUCUUUUUAAUAACUUUUAUUCAUAAAUCUUUAUUUUCGUCGUCAUCUACGGAUGAUUCUUCAACCCAAUUUUAAAGAAUUAAAUUACAAAAAAUUCAUCUUUAACCACAAACCCAAAAUUUCAUCUUCAACCACAAGCCUAACUAUUUUUUUUUUACUCAAUCAUCUUCAAAACCCAAAAAAAUUAAUCUCAACAUGUCCAAUAUUCAUCCUUCUUUCAACUCAGAAACUUUUAAACCCAAAUUGAUCCUUUCCAACAUCCAAGCAUGGAAUAACAAUUAUGUGCUCCAAAGAUAUCUUCCUCAUUUGAAAGAACUCAAGUACUUCUCCCACCAAAACACAAACACAACCAAAUUGAGAAACAUACACACUAUAGAAAGGGAAGCAACACGGUUAGUUCAUACUACUUUAAAAGAACAUAAUAACUCAUAUUCUUCAUGUUCUAUAACACUACAACAAAAACAUUAGCUCAUAUUAUUUAAAAAUAAUUAAACCCAGUGUAUGGAAAAUCAAUAUUAAAAAAAGGGAACAUAAAAAUAAAAUAACAAAUCUCUCCUUCUCUCUCUUUUACUCUUCCUUUUGCUUUGUUCUCCCUGUGCUUCUUCUUCUCUUCUCUUCCUUAGUUCUAAACCCUAAAUCCCAAUUUUUUUUCAACACAAUUAAGACCAUUUUCUAAUUAUUUGAUUUUUAAAGUAAAUUAAUAGUUAGAUAAUUUUCAAUUAUAAAAAAUUGUAUUGUCAGCAUUAUUAUACUGUUAGCCAAGGAUACAUCAAUAAAAAUUGAUCAUGUCUACAUUUUUUAAUUGAUAAAAUUCAUUAAGGAUUUUUUUAAAACUUUUUGUGAUAUUGCAAAGAUAUAAAUAAAUAAAUAUUUACAAACAUAAAAAUCAAAACGAAUUAUAUUUAAAAGAAUUAAAAAUAUAUUUGAAUUUAAAUUGUCAAUAUCAAUUUAAAAUAGUAUAAAUAUAUUUUUUUGAUUAAAAUAUUAUCACUAAAUUGUCGUUAAAUAAUAAGUAAAUAAUCAUCAUAGUAAUGGUCACAUUUCCACUUCCACUAAUAAUAUGUGCAUUGGGUCGAUCAAACAUAUUAGAUUAGUAGGGUUCUCUAGCUAACAUAAUUUUUUGAUUAUAAAUAUCCCCGCAUAUACGUGAAUGUAAGAAUUUAAUUCAAACGUACGUAGUAUCUAAUUAAAAUAAAUUUUAUCCAUCAAUGUUAGGAUGGAUUUAUAUCACUACAUGUAAAUAUGAAGGUUGUGAUAGGUUGGAGGUGCUCAUCCCACACACAUCCCCGAACGUGUUAUACUAUUAAAGUCAUUCAAUGUAUCAAAAAUAUUAAAGUCAUUCAAUGCAUCCCCUAAAUUGACUUAUAUGUCUUUGAAUCGACUUAUAGUAGUCUUGAAACCAAUUCAUGAUGUUUGCAUCAUAUGAAUAGGUUCAUAAAACUCUUUGAGAGUAAGUGAAACGAUGCAUGUGUGAAUCAAUUCAGGAUUGAAAUUUGGGAUUUUGAAAAAUUUAUGAAUCGAUUCAUAUACUUGUGAAUCGAUUCAUAAUACAACUUGUAAGAUUUAGUUUUUUCAAUUACAAAUCAGUUAUUUUUGUUAGGUUUCAAAUUUUGCAUGCAUGAGACAGAGCUACUCAUUCAAAUGUAGUUGAUGAUAAUCCCAUUAAUGACUUCAUCUUAGUGCUGAUGGGUGGCCUGAACAACAUCAUCUAAGCCUUAGAAGUUGGGUUUGUAGUUUUAGGAAGCAUUGAUUUAAGGCAAUAAAAACACCAAUGAUGAUGGGUUCUCAAGCUAUGGUAGCAGCUAGGGUUAACCUAGUAACCUAAGGAAGGAAAAAAUUAAAUAACUGUAAGUGAACUUUUCAUGUCAUUCAAAGAAGCACCAUUACACUAGUAUAACUAGGAUUUUCACUAAUAAAUCUAAACAACUUUCUUUAUGGACUACUUAGAGGAAUUAAAUAAGCUUAUAGGUCAUGGACCACUUAGAGCAAUUAUAAAAAAAGAAUACCACAACAAUUAAAAUAACUCAAACUCGAAGAUAGUGAUAGGAUAAAGGGAUUCAUACCUGCCUUACAUCCACUCCCAAACACGUCAUAUUAUUAAAGUCAUUCAAUGUAUUAAAAAUAUUUUCAAAGUAAUUAUAACCUAAAUUGACUUUUACGCAUUUGAAUCAAUUUACACUCGUCCUGAAACCAAUUCACGGUGUUUUCAUCAAAUGAAUCAAUUCAUAAAACUCUCUAGGAGUGAGAGAAUUAAUUCAUAUUAUUUAUGAAUCAGUUCAUGAUUGAAAUUCAAGGUUUUGAAAAACUGAUGAAUCGAUUCAUAUACCACUUGUAAAAUUUAGUUUUAUUGUACUUUCAUUUUUAAAUCAUGUAUCUUUAUAUACUGACUUAUUUCUUCAUGCUAAAGUGAACACUUUCAUUCACAUUUAUAUACUUUAGGAAGAAGUACUUUGAUGUUGCACAAGAGUUCUCCUUGAUGCCAAAAGCUAUGUGAUGAGUGUGGUUAUAGACUCGUGCCUAACUGCCAUGGAUCUAUCCAUGUCUAUUGCCUAUAAGUUGUUGGUUGUCUAACUUUGCAUCCAUGAGAUCCAUCUAUUGAUUCAAAUGUUGGUUGGUGGGAGCUAUGGGUGUUCAUAUCCAAACUAAUUAAAAAAAAUCGUAAAUCGAUAAAAAAAAAUCCAAAAAUUGCAUAAAAUUUAUUACUUUUGAAUAUUUUGUAAUGUUUUUUUGUGAAAAUCGGACGAAUUGAAUUGGAUUUCAGAUUCCUUUUUCAAAAUUGAAACCAAAUUGUAAUAAUAAAUUUUAGGCACAAUUGCUCAUGUGGUCCUUUAACUUAAUUUCAGAUAACACUUCAGUCAUUUAUUUAUUUAUUUUUUUCCGAUUUGACCCUUUAUUUAAUUUUAUUACAAAAAUUCAAAAAUAUAAAGAAUGAAAAUAUGAGUUUAUUUGAAGAUUUGAGUUAUAAAUUUGAUGAUAUUUGCAUUAUAUUGAAGAUGAUAAUUAAUUUUAUGAGUUUGUUUGAAAAUUUUGAUGAAUUUUUGUAAAAAAUGAUAAUAUUGUUAACAGUUUAAAACAUAAAAGAUCAAAUUUUUACUUUAAAUUAAAUAAAGGACCAAAUCAAAAAAUAAAAUAAAAAAAUCAAUCACGGAAGUGUUAUCUGAAAUUAAGUCAAGGGACCACAUAAUGAAUUAUGGCUAAAUUUUAAUACUUAUUUUUUUUUAUUAGUAUGAUAUAUAGCAUUUUUAUAUUAUUUGUUGAUUUUUAAUUUUUUCUCUUAAUAAUACUUGUUAGUUUAAUUUGAUCUAUUUUGUUGCUAUUUCAUGUAUUUCAAAUAUAGUUGAUUAUUGUUAUUCUAUAAUAUUAAAUUUAAAUAUAUUAUUUUAUCGUGUUUUUAUAAUAUUAAUAAUUUUUUUUGCCAUCGUAAUUUAGAUAUUCAAAAGUCGAUCUAAAUUAAAUUCUUAAAAUUAGAUCGGAUUGGAUUUUAAAAUACUUGUCAUCUAAACCAAAUUGAACCACAUAUAUCGAAUUAAUUUUUAUUUCAAAAUCGAUUCAAACCGUAUUACAAAUACUCUAGGCAGCGCCAUUGAUGCCCUCGUCUGAGUGGUGGUGGGUGGCCUGAAUGGCAUCACCUAAGCCUUAGAGGUUGGGUUUGUAGAUUCAUGAAGCAUUGAUGUCAUUCAAAAAAGCAACAUUACACAUAAAUAGUUAGAGUUUUCACUAACAAAUCUAAACAAGUUAGGUCAUGGGCUACUUAGAGGAAUUAAAAAAAUUAUGAGUCAUGGACCACUUAGAGGAAUUAUAAAAAAAAAUACUAGUGCAAUUAAAACAAACUAGACCCCAAUUUAAUUGCUUCACUUAAAGGUAAACCCUUAAUGCCAAAAGGCUACUGAAUAUUUCUCUUCGGCCUAUUGUGACACAGCUCACUAACGAUGUUUGAUGAUUUGGUUGGCAUGGACAUUUUUUACAAAGAGACUUGUGAUGACACACUUUGCAAAAUAUGGAAAGUUUAUUCUUUUUUCCAGUGUAGUAUACUUCCUUAUCCAGUUGAUUGUGUUUUUCUUUGUUUAUGUUUAUAGUAUUUUCCAGCCUAGUUUUUCAUAUCUAUAGAGGAGAUGAAAACCCAACCGAUGUGUUUGGAGACUUGGAGGAUUUUAGUGUCAAUAUAACUUUCAAAGAGGUGAGGGUAGGAAAGGAAUGAUAUGUUUCUCUGGCUUUUAUUUGGAUGGCAUAAUUGUUUUCGCGUUCUAUUAACUUAAUUUCAGGUAACACUUCAGUUUUUUUGUUUUAUUUUUCAGUUUAGUCUUUUAUUUAAUUUUAAGUAACAAUUUGGUCAUAUAUGUCUUAAAAUGUCAGCAAUGUUAUCAUUUUUUUUACAAAAGUUCAAAAAAUUCAUCAAAAUUUUCAAACAAAACCCAUAAAAUUAAUCAUAAUCUUUAAUAUAAUGCAAAUUUCAUCAAAUUUGCUACUCGAAUAUUCAAAUAAACUUAUAUUUUUAUUCUUUAUUUAAUGAAUUUGAUGUUGUUGGAGAUGAAAAUGUGAGUUUAUUUUAAUAUUUGAGUUAUGCAUUUGAUGAAUAUAUGAAUUUCUUGAAAUUGGUAUUGAAUUUUAUGGGUUUUGUUUGAAGAUUUUGAUGAAUUUUUUAAGUUUUUGUAAAGAAAUAAUAAUAUUAUUGAUAUUUUAAAAUAUAAAAUAUCAAUUUAUUACUUAAAAUUAAAUUAAAAAAAAAUAAAAAGAUAAAAAAACUGAAAUAUUACUAUAAAUUAAGUUAAGAGACCGUAAUAACAAUUUAUAUCUAUUUACAUUGACAAUAAACUUUUUGAGUCUGGUAUAUUCCUUAGAAACUCUUUGGCAUAUAUGCCCAAAUAUUUAGUAUUAGUAAUUAGUUAUGUAUAUGGGGUCAAUUUAGGGAGCUCAUAAACUAAUGCUAAACCAAAUAUUCCUUUACAAGAAACUUGUGGGUACGACUUGUCCCUACUCAUAUGGUACGCAAGUUCUUGUUUUAAUGUAAUCUUUAAUUAUAAGGUCAAUUUAAAAAAAAAAUGUUCUUAAAUAUAAAUUUUUUAAAAAAUUUAUUAGAUGUAUUUAUUAUCUUGAAUGCAUUUAUGACAAAUAAUAAGUUAGUAAUAUAUAUUAUGCUUCUACAAAAGCAACAAUAUGCUCUUUUAUAUAUUUUUUUAGUAACAUUUAAGUUUAGUUCAAUUUAUAUGCUCUUUUAUAUUUUUUUAAUAACAUUUAAGUUUAGUUCAAUUUCGAUUUAGGUUUUGUUUUUAGAUUUUAAUUUUUUAAUCAAAUCAUUUAAAUUACAUUGUGUUUACAUCGUUAUUCAUUUGUCUCGCAUAAAACAACGACUAGUGCAAUUAAAAAUAUCUCAUCAUUAUAAAUUCUACAAAAUAUUGCAAUAAUAUAUCUUACAUGAUAAUUCUCUAUAAAAUAUUAAUUAAACUUUAUAAAUAAUAUUUUUUUUACAACCAUUUAGAUACAUGUAUAUAUAGCCUCUAAAAAUUUAGUAAUAAAAAUCUAUGCAAAUUAGAUUGAGCAGUCAACUCACUGCACUAUUUGAACUAUAUUAUCAAUACAAUAGUCAAAUUUAAAGGGCUACAUACAUAAGUUUAUAUAACUUUAAGGCUAUAGGUGCAAACAAAAUAUAACAUAAAUGACUAAAUUGAAAGGAAAAAAAAAAACUUAAAAGAUCUAACAUUGAACUAAAAUGAUAGAAGUGUUUCAAGAAUACAUAAAAGAUUAAACUGUUCAUUUUGUGAAACAUAAAUGACAUCGGAAUAUAUUUUGAUUUUUAAUUUUUAGUCCCAAUAAAUUUUGUCUUUAACUUUUGGGCCCUACAAUAUUUCUCAUCAAUAAUUUUAGUCUCUACUAAAAUUAAACUAAAUCGAGACUUUUAUCAAAAUGCUAUCAAACUUUAUAAACACACUUUAUAUAUUAUGAUAGAAAUAUCAAUAGAAACGAACUCAAAUUUUGAUUUAUAUGUUUACGUUUAUGUUAUUUUUAGUCUCAUGAUCUUUUGACACUUAAAAUUCAUAUCUUGUUCAUACACUAUUAAACAAUUUUAAGUUUUUUCCGAGAUGUAUAGGAUAAUGUUAAAAUCAUUCAAAAAGUUUAAAUAGUAUAUAUGAGCUGACUUAGAGAGACAAACUGUUACAUUAAAUUUUGUGGAGACUAAAAAAUAAAAAUAAAGACUACAAAAUAAAAAUAAAAAUAUUAUAUAGACUAAAAAUAAAACUUUAAAUUUCACAACAACUUAAUUAAUUUAACCCUUCCAAAUAUAUUUGUUAUUAAUUGUAAUAAUUUAUCUUGGAAAUAUGAAAAAUCAAUGUUGAAUACAUUAUAUUAUACAUAAAGGUGAUUUAUUUGACGGACUAUCUUCAUAAGUGGUUCACCGUAGAUAAGUAUUUAAAAAACAUAAUUAAUUAUAAAGCGAUUGUCAACAAUACUUUUCAAAAAUAAUAAUUUACGAUUUUCCUCAUCUUUACAAAUAACCUGGUGACUCAAUUGUAUCUAGUCUAUACGAUAUACAUAUUUGUUUUUCGUAUUUUUAUCAAACCGAUAAUUUUUUAAGUCACUAUCUCAACUAUAAAAAUAAAGACGAAUAUUAACAUAUACAUAUAUACAUAUAAGAGACAAUAUGUGUGAUCGUUAAAAUUUUAAAUAUUUUUAAAAUUGAUCCAAGUUAGACCCCGAUCAAUGUUAUAAUUUAUCAUAAAGAUAAAAUGUAAUUUGUUCGUACCAGUCGUCCACCAAAUAUACAUCCAUUAUUAUACAAACUCUUCAUAUUAUAUAUUAUUUCGUCUGUCAUAUGAUAAGUAAACAAUUUCACACAAACUAACAAAAUAUAUAAAUGAAAAAUUGGAAAAAAAUAUAAUCUUAAUAAAUUACUCUUAUGAUCUAUUGAUGUAUUAUUGUUACUACGAAAUAAAAGGUAGUACAUGGAAAACGAUGAAUGGAAUAUAAGUUAGAGAGUAAAACUGUAAAAAUAAUAAAUAUUAUUAUAUUAUAUUUAAAUAUGUUUUUGGUUUAUGUAAUUAAAGCAAUUUUUGGUUUCAGUUUUGGUAAAAAACUUUAUUUAGAUUUCAUCGUUGCAAUAUCAUAAAACUUUACUUUUGAUUAUUAACGUCAAGUGGACGUUGCAAAAACGUGAACCGACAAACGGAGGAAAACAUGGAUUAAUUGUAGCACGAAAAUUGAAAUAUUAAUUUAAAUUUUAGAAUAAUUUAUAUAUUUAUUAUUCAUCGAUCACAAAUCUAAAAAGUGAGUUUUAUCAUCAUCUUCAUCAACCGAACUAUCCAUAUUUUUCCUCGUCCAACUCAAUUUAUUCUCUUCAUUAUUCAUACUUCACCUAGCCCAAUUUUUUCUAUCAAUAACUCUACCUCCAACCUCAUCUUUCCCAUCUAUUAUCUCAACAAAAAUAUAAACCACAAAUUUACCUAUAUCUAUGAAGCUUUUCUCUUUCCUCCUCCAUUAACACAUCAUUCUUCACUCUUCAUUUAUGACAAAAUCAAAAUCAAAUUUCUCUCAAUAGAGAGUCAAAAAAGAAUGAGUUAAUUAACUAAUCUCUAAAAAUUGAAAUUCAAAAUCUCCAAUACGUAGUCUCUAAUGGAAGCAACAACCUCAUAAAACUAUCUUUAAACUUGUUUUUGUUUCUGAUUUUUGAUCGCCUUGUAUGUUCUUUUUUUCUUUUCCUUUGUAUGUUUUCUUUUUGUUUGUUAUGGGUUUUUUCUCAGUGAGAUUUUCAGUGUUUUUGGUUGGGGUUUAUGGGUUGGGUUGAUUGGGAUAUAUGGACCGAUAUUUUUAUGGGUUUUUAGGUUGAAAUGAAGGAGAUGAAGUACUCACUUUUUUUGGAUUGAAAAUCAAGUGUUCACAUUUUAAAAAUAAAACUAUAUUUACAGGGAUGUAAAUCAAACAAAAAAACUUGCGAUGACCAAAUCAAAAAAUAAUAUAAUUACAAGGACCAAAAACAUAUUUAAACUAUUAUAUCAAUAAUGGUGAAAUAAAUUAUUGGUCCCUAUAAAUAUAUCAUAUUCCGUUUUUAGUCCAUCUAAAAUUUUUCUUCAAGCAAUGAUAUUUCAAAUUUUUUCUAUCAAAAUUUUAGUCCAUAUUUUUAAGUCAACUCAUGUGUAUCAAAAGAAAUUUGAAUGAUUUUUUGCAACAAUGUUUAGAAUAUUAUAAGAAACCAUCUAUAAAUUUUUAUAAUUUUUUAACAAAUAGUGAAUUAAGUAUGAAUGAAUUUGUAAAGGCUAAUUUUAAAAAAAAAAUAUUUAAUUCUUCAUUUGUUAAAUAAAUUAUAAAAUUUUGUGGAAGAUAUUUUUAUAAUAUUUUAAAUAUGUAUGCAAAAAACCAUUAAAAAUUAAGACGAUCCAUAUGAAUUCUUUUAAAAGCAUGAACCAAAAUUAUUGACGAAAAAUAUUUGAGAAAUCAUUGUUUGAAUAAAUUUUUUAAAAGGACAAAACGAAAUAUGGUAAUUUAUAAGAAUUAUAAACUUAUUUAACCCUAUUACAAAUUGAAAUAAUCGUUCAUAAAUAUCAGUUUAGUGGUAAAAACUUAACAUAUCUUUAUCACAAUAGACAUAAUUCAAUUCAUGUAUGAGAUCAUUACAAAAUGAUAAUUAAUAUCACUAUCGGUAAUAAUUUACUCUUUUCCAAAAAAAUUUAUAAAGAAAAAAAAGACAUAUUCAUUAAAGGACAUUUAAAAAAAAAAAAUCAACCUGAGAUAAAGGGAGUACAAAAUAUGUAUUGUACUUAUAAAAAGGGAUAGAGAAAUUAUUAAAUUUCCAUAAUAUUUUUUCCAAACACAACAUUAAAGACUCAUUUGAUAAUCAAGAUGAUAUACAUCAUAUGAUAUAAAUUAUAAUAUUAUGUCUCACAUCAACAUUUAAUUGAAUUUUAUUUAUUUUUUCUCUAGUUAGAUUCUUAUUUUAGAUAUGAGUUGAUUUAGAAACAAAACAAUAAGAUAAAAAAAAAAUAAUUUAUCAAAAUAUCUUUAUGACAUAUAAUUUAAAAUACAAGAAAUUAAAAUACAUCACUUAUAAAAGAUAAAAAAGAAAGAAUAAAAUAAAUAUUACAUAAAAGAUAAAUUAUUAAAAUUAUAUUUAUAUUUAAUUUUAUUUUUUUAGUUUAUCAAAUAUUUUUUUAUAAAGAAAAAUUUAGGGUAAGGGACGUGUCAUUGAACUCACAAUUUAUAGAUUUAAUAUUUAUUAGAUUAAAUCAUUAGAGUUUGUUUAUCUAAUAUAUAAAAAUAAAAUAGAUAGUUACUUGUGAUUUUUUUAAGAAAAAUUAGAAUGAUUUAUUUAAUAAUAUGAUUGUAAUUUUUUUAAUAUAAAAUAAUUUUUUUCAUUUUUUUUAAUCUCUAAAAUUCAAAAGUAUUAUAAUUUAAUUCAAAUGAAUUAUAUAUGAUUGUUUUACAAAAUAAAUAUUUCUGUACAUACACAAUAAUAAUACUAUUAUUUAAAUAUAAUAUAUAUUCUAUUUUAUCACGUAAAAUGAUGAAAUUUGUUUAAAUAAUAAAAUAUAGUAAAAUAUGAAUUUAAUUUAUAUAUACUACUAAUUAAUUUGUCAUAAUGUACAAAUCAAAUAUGUGAAAUAUUAAUAAUAGAUUUUUGAAUAUUUAUUAAGAAUUUAAAUAUAAAAAUAAAAUUUUAAAUAUAUAAUUUAGAUUUUAAAAUUAAAAAAAAUAAGAUUUAUUAAUUCAAUUUUUGCUUUAUUUCUAUAUUUUUUAUCCUUAACAAGUAGGGCACUUGUUAGUCUAAUUCAAUAAAUAUUUUUAUAUCCAAAAUAUGUAUACGGAAUAAUAUAUCCCUGUUGAUUGCGUUUUACUUUAUGAAUGAAUUUAAUAUUAUCCUUGAUAUUUCAACAACUCUCCAACUCCCUGUAGCGUAGUCAACCCUAGCUAAACCACGGUGGGUAAGUAAGUAACCGUGGUUAAAGAAGAUAAUCUUAGGAAUAUUAACAGACAAGUAGUACAAUCUCACACGUGAGACCUUUGUCACGCGUGUGAAGUAAUAUUUGAAUAAUUUAAUUAAAACUUGACUUUCCGGUGAAGACCGGGUAAUGAAUGAAAAUUAUUCUCCACAAAACCCAAAAAUAAACCAUUUUCGAAUUAACCAAACCCACACUUGUCCUUACCUGCCUCUUCGGGCUGCCCGUCAUUCGAUAUUUUCAGUUUCUAAUUGCUGCCCAAACUGCCCGAAACUUAGCUGAGAAAUUACGAGCAUUCGGUCUCCAGUACCCUGUGUCUCCUUCUCUCUUUCUCUCACUGACCUUCUGAUAUUUCUAUAUUUCGAACCUCAGUGUUUAUACGAUCAAGAUCCAACGGUCCAAAAUGUACGCGGCUUUUUCUCCUUCUUUUCAGAGGUUUUAGUGCUUCAAACCCUCAGAUCUUCCUUAUCAGUCUCUAGAUCUUCCUUCCUGGUAACUUCUUUCAACUUUCUUUUUCUAUAAUUCUUCCUAAUUUUCUGUUUUCUCUUCUUACUUCGCUUUUUUUUUUUUUAUGCUACUAUUAGAAAUUUAUUUCCUCUCUUUUGCGAUCAUAGUUUUUUUUUUUUCUUUUGCUGAAACACUUCUACUUCCGGCGAGGUUUCAAUUUAUGUUUCACUUAAAAAAGCUAAACGCUACUUUUCAUUUCUUAUGCUUUCCUAGUUACCUUUAAUUUUCUGUUUAAUAAUUUCACUAAAUUAUACUUUAUAAUUAGGUUUUCUAAGUUACGAAUAUUUGUAAAUAUUUUUUAUAAAAAAUAAAAUAAUAAUUGGUGUUGUGAUUCUGAAACAAGAGCAGCAGUCAGAAAAUCUAACGGUGAUGGUGAUAUUAUUUUGUUAAUUUAUUAAUUUUUUUGGUAAUAUUAAUUAUUAUUUUAUUCAUUUAUUAUGUAUAUAAUACAGGAUAAGAUUUUGUGGUUUGAGAAGGGACUUUGUUUGUCGUACGAAAUGGAGACUGAAAAUAGCACGAUGAUGGUCACGCUCCGUUAUGGCGCGUUGACGUACGCCGCGGAAGCGCUUGUAACGUUGUUAGCUUCUGCUGUUGUCAAAGCCACGCUUUUGGCCUCUGUAAGUACUUAUUCCUUGGCUUCACAGUUAACAGUCACAUACUAAAAAAGUAUUUCUAAAAAAGAAAGUGUGUCAAAAUCUUUUACUGACCUCAAGCUUGACGAGAUCUAACCUUAUCUAUACUAUUGAAAGCAAUUUGUGUUUUCACAACUUUAAGUUUUUAUUAUACUCUAAUCAAUUAUGAGGUUUUUUUUGUCGUUUAUCGAUUUUUCGUAAACACGCUAAUUUGCGCAUGUUGAUGAGACACUGGCCUGUGCGAUUUUUCGGGUAACGUAUGGAAUAUAACUGAUAGGGUUUAACUUAUCCUCCGUCUUUGAGUAACAAAAAAUCACCGUGGCUAUCCUGCGCAGGUUGUUUUGAACUUUUUGGUAGAUUUACACAUUCAAUGACGGUUGAAUCGAGACUAGUCGCCGUUCAAUCGAAUGAUGCAAAUUUUAAAUCAGAUUUAUUUUUAAAAAUAACUAAAACUGGACUUGAAAUAUGAGCAGUUCGAUUUCUAUCUAUCGUACCUUCGCAUUGAAUGUAAAAAUUGAUUGAAUUGAAUGCGGGAAUUGCUUACACAUGAGUCGUUGGAUCUUGAUUUAAUGGUUAGAUAUGCAUUGAAUGCUUGAAUUGCUGAAUGCAGCGAAUCAAAAUCCUUGCUAACGUAUGCAGCUUUUCUUUUUUCCCAUAAAAGAUAUUCCUUUCACUUUUAGUUUUUAUUCUUAUAGAAGGAAAGUAAAGAUAUAAUAUCUUAAGUGAUUAAAAUGAAAAUUCAUGGUGAAAUUUUAAAAUUUUUGUUAAAUUGUUUUUAAAAAUAAUUCGCAUAGCAGAACUUGGUUGAGCAUCAGGAUAUGAAUCAACUAGUACUAUUUGAUUUUUUUACCACGUGGGGUCCGGUGAGUUGAGAAGCAAAAAUAUCUUCAUUUUUUUAACGAGUAAAAUAUCUUUUUCUUUUUCUUGUAUAAAAAAAGUGAAAUAUAUUUUUGUCGUGUGAGUGAAGGUAAAAGUCAAAAGUUGAGGAACGUGAGGGNNNNNNNNNNAGAGAAGCGGAUUCGAAAUCGGUGGUGGGUUAUUCGUUUGGAUAGCCAUUGAGCGUAAAGCACGUAGCUCGAAACGCGUGACGUUUUGGGUUCAUGGUUUCCUAGUAUCCUGGGUGGUGAAAAACGGUCGAAUCUUUAACGAUGGGAUGGCACAUACUGCGUUGAUACCGUGUACUACUAGUGCCCACUGAUAAAGCCUAUUUAUCAUAAAAGUUGAUGAUAUUAGUUUUUUUUAAAUUUAUAAAAUUAAACACUAAUUAUUUUUAAACAAAAUAUAUAUCAAUUAAUUUAAUCUUUCAAACAAAAUAUUAAUUUACAAAAUAAAAAAUUAAAUAAUAUAAAUUAAUUUAGUCUUUCUAACAAUAUUAUUAUAUAACAACCAAUAAAUUAAGAUUUUUUUUAUAAUAUAAAUCUCACUUUUUUUAAAAUUUUAAAAUAUCAAAUUUUGAAACUAAUUUAACAGAAUGCUUUAUUUUUUGAACAUUUAAGUCACCUCCAUAUGAAUAAAAAAAAAUUAGAGGUAGUAGUUGCAAACAAAAAUCAAGGUAGUAGUUGGUGGACCUUCUACCGACAUAUAUUUUUUCUUAAACAAAAUAAUAAAUGUAUCUAACAUAUACAUUAGAAACAAAUGAAAGAACGUGGUAUAGUGUAGUAACAAUAUUCACUUGAUAACUUCCUUGUGACAUUCUCAAUAAAUUAGUAACAUGCACUUAUUUAUAUUAUAAAUAAAAUAGAUAUUAGUACCAAUUAUAAUCCAAAAAAUUGUUAAAUUUCUACUAAUUUUAAUUAAUGAAUUAAUUGUUGUUUAAUUUAUCAAUUAAUUCAAAAAAUGAAGAAAAAAAAUGUGUCUAAAAUCGCCAUCUUAAAGAUGUGACCAACUACACUAUCUCUAGUUUUGUUUAUUUCACAUAGUCGCCUCUGGAGAAUGCUACCUCUUGAACUACCAAAAAAUAAGACAUUUUAUAUAUUAAUUUUAAAGUAAGAUAUUUUAGUUUUUUUUUUUUUUAAUAAUAAUGGGAUAUAUAUGAAAAAAAAAUGCUAUUGCGCAAACAUAGUCUAAAAUCUAAAUAGUUAUAUUUGGCUAGGCUUUACUUUGUUAAGCUUCACUUAAGGAUUAAUUAAUUAAAAGAAUUUGAAUUUGACUCUUGAUUAAAAUAAUUAUUGAUCUUGCUUCACUUAAGUCCCAGUUAAAUUUUAACCCAAAAAAAUAGUUAUACACACCCUAAUUUCGAAUGGACACCAUUUUCUUACCUUAAACUUUUUGUUAGUUCUACCAAGUAUAUCGGCCAAAAGAAAAAUAAUUAUACGUUUUACUUAAAUUUUUUUUUUGAAUCAGUGUUUUUUACUUAUUAUUCUUUGAUUUAGAGUUUAAUCGGUAACAUAUUCCGCUGAAUAUAUCUUAUUGAUCGUGUUUUGACAAUAUGAAUUUUUUUAGGAAAAAUGCAUAUGGAUUUUUUUCUUUCUAAAACUUGUAAAUGUAGUUACAAUAUCUUUUUAUUUUUGUGAAAAUAGUAUGUAUAAAUUUCAAUUCAAUUUUAGUAAACCACCCGAAGUAAUUGCUUGAAAGUAUCUUGUGCGAAUUUAAACUUGGCUUUACGAUUAUUCUUUUCUUUGUUUAAUUCGCUAAAUAAAAUAUUUAAAUUUAAUCAUAACACACUGUAAUUGCUGUAAAAACAUGUCAAUAUUAAGAUUUUUUAAAUCAUUAAACUAUAUGGCUUAUCAUAUCAUUGAUCUUUUGAAGAUUCUUGCAAUUUUUGGUUUUCAUUACUAAUCAUUGCUUAAAUAUUUGAUGCUCCUGAGCUCCUUUGUACGUAUCUUUUUUAUGCAAUUACAUAGAAUCAUUGAUAACAAAAAAAUGGGUGCAGGAACUCUAUGCUCUAAUGUUAAUCAACAUGCCUACAACCAAAGGAGAGAGUAAAACCCAAAGUCAAGACAAGCAGCUUGAUGCUGAGGGAGAAGAUGGCAACGAGGAUGAAGACGACGAAGAAGAUGAUGAUGGAGAUGGUGCAUUUGGAGAAGGAGAAGAGGAAUUGUCAUCUGAAGAUGGAGGUGGAUAUGGCAACAAUUCCAACAAUAAGAGCAACUCAAAGAAGACUCCUGAAGGUGGUGCUGGUGGGGCAGAUGAAAAUGGAGAAGAGGAAGACGAUGAAGAUGGUGAAGGUGAUGACCAUGAUGAAGAUGACGAUGAGGACGAGGACGACGAAGAAGAGGAUGAGGUCGGAGAAGAGGACGAAGAAGAUGGUGUUGAAGAAGAGAAUGAAGAGGAAGAAGAAGACGAAGAUGAGGAAGCCUUGCAGCCACCAAAGAAAAGGAAGAAGUGAAUUUAGCUUAGUCAAGCCUCCUUUUGUAUUGUUGUGUACGAAUUUGGCUUCUAACUUCCCAUGAUGUUUUUUUUAAGUAUUAAACUUCUAUGUUCUUGUUUUCUUUAUAAGGAGGCCUAUGUAGGACAUGUUUUAAUUGAUAUCUGUGUUUACCAUUGCGUAAUUAGAAUUCUACAUUAUGUUGAGCAGUCAGUCUUAAAUUUACAAGACAGAAAAAAUAAUGAUCCUAGUUAAUUUUAACGUGACUUUUCUCACUUCACCAACUUCUGUAAUUUGUUUAUGUUCUACUACAGUUCC